UUAUUUUUUUGUGUGUAGCUCACAAUUGUUUUUAAUAGCCUCUUGCAGACACAUUCUACAUAUACAUGUGGACAAAAUUUUAAAAUUUUCAGACUUCCAAACAUGAGAUUUGGAAGAAAAAAACUGAAGGGCUCACGAGGUAAAUGAUGCUCUCCACUUUCUUAAUAGGCAUAUGCAUCAUGUUGUGUUUGAAUUAGUUACAGUUUUGUAACUUUUGGAAAAUCCAAAAAGACUCCAAUUUUGUGUAUUGGGCUCAAGGUGCGUGUCACCAUUUUUUGUGACUGGCCAAUCGCUUGCAAUUGGUACCUACUGAAAUCAAACAAAAACACAUAUUUGUUAGCCGUAAAACUUCAUCGUAAAUGUGGCCUGUAGGAUUGUUUAAUCUGGACAGAUCAGUUCAUGCAGUUCAUAAGAUCAAGAAAGGAUUGUAGGGGGCAUACAUAGAAGUAACUAGGCACACACAGUGAAGAGCCAAGAGGAGAUACCACAUAUCUUAUGGGACCCUUGGCUUUCGGAGAACUAGAUGCUAAUCAUCCUGAUUUGGGGACAGAUGUAGGCAGUACACAGUGACACUAGCUCUUGCCAAUUUGAGCUAGAGAAUCUAGACCAAAUAUUCAAUGUCACAAUGAUCUAGCUGGUUUUUAGCACGAAAAUUGAUGAGCGCUUAACUAUUGUGAUUGUCCAAAUAUUGCUUCCUCGCUGGAUUUCUCCAAUGGGUCAAUUGUUUUUACAGGGAAUUUUAUCAGCUGAAAUAAGCAUGUGAAUGAGUCACAUGGUAUUCCUUACAAUUAUUUCUUCCAUACUACCUCCAUUUCACAAGCGCAUACCUAGCUUAGGAGGCGCAAAAUUGAGGUAAAACUUGAUUCAGGCGAAUCAUAUAUACUUGCUUUGAUUGGAUAAAAUUAGUAUUUUAUUCUAUCUAACUGCAGGAUCAAGCAUAUAUAGUUCAGUUCCAUCAAAUAUGGCAUAGCCUUGUAAUUUAGUUAUGCAAUUGGAGCUCAUUCCAAACAGAAACACAUCAACCUAGCCCCCAAUGACUAUCAAAGGUAAACAAGCAAUUGGCCUCUCCCAGCAGCAACAAGUUAAAAACAAGCAGUCUUAAUCAAUAACCACCAAUGUAUUGCCAAUUUCAUGCCUAAACAUGGAAGCAUACAAACAAGUUAAUUCCUCCUAUCCAUAUACAUUAGCAACACUCUUNNNNNNNNNNNNNNNNNNNNNNNNNNNNNNNNNNNNNNNNNNNNNNNNNNNNNNNNNNNNNNNNNNNNNNNNNNNNNNNNNNNNNNNNNNNNNNNNNNNNNNNNNNNNNNNNNNNNNNNNNNNNNNNNNNNNNNNNNNNNNNNNNNNNNNNNNNNNNNNNNNNNNNNNNNNNNNNNNNNNNNNNNNNNNNNNNNNNNNNNNNNNNNNNNNNNNNNNNNNNNNNNNNNNNNNNNNNNNNNNNNNNNNNNNNNNNNNNNNNNNNNNNNNNNNNNNNNNNNNNNNNNNNNNNNNNNNNNUGGCCCGUAAUUGAAUUCGAAGAAGAUGGUGCAAAGAUACAAAGCUAUGGAUUUUCAUACCAAGUUCCUCAUAUAAUUAAACAUAGUAUUGUUAAGUAACUUAACACAGUACAUCUCAAUAUAUGAUAUCACCCUCCUUGCAUGAAGUUAACAACACUUGCAUGCAGCCACUACACGUCAACACCGAUCUAACAAGUAGGCAGGAACACACCAUUUAGCUAAUUAUAACCCAAGAUUAAAAUAUGAAGAAAAGGCAUGUUAAAACCGACAACACCAUCCUAAUUGAAGAGCGCGCGCGAGACCAUACCACAUAACCCUAAAUUAAACUAAGACGGGGAGACCUAAUUCAUAACCCAAUGCAUGCAUGCAUGCAUAAUCCAAUGCAUCCCCUACGGUCACAGCUUUCAUUCCCCGACGAUCACAUCACAUUCCCCGACGAGGAGGAGCUGAACCCGGACAAGAACUCCGUCGGCCACCCGCCCCCGCCACCGCUCCCGGGCCAGUACUGCUCGUGCGCUCCGACAAAGCCGCCUCCAGCGCCGCCAGCGCCCGCGCCGUGCUCCUCCAUCUUGAUCGACGCCAGCUGCGCGAGCAGCCCCGACGCCACGCCUCUCGGAAACCCGUCGGCCAGCUGUGAGCCGAUGUCGCCGUCGGCGAUGUGGUACCCGUGCAGCCCUUGCUGCAGGAACUGCGGCGGCAGGAACGGCAGGUUAUGGUGUUGGUGGUGGCUGUGGCUGUGGUACCCCUCGAGCGACGCCUCCAGUGCGGCUGCCGCGGGGAGGCCGCCUAGGUGGUGCGGCAGCGCCUGCAUGCUGGCGAUGACGUCGGCCGCGGUCGCCGCGGCGGCGCUUGUGGUGGUCGAGGUGGAGGUGGUGGAGGAGGACGACGUGGCGGCCGCGACGGCACCGCCGCCGCCCUGGCCCUGGCCCUGGCGCGACGACUUCUUGCUGGAGCGCUUGGUGUUGCGGCGGCAGCCGCCGCCGACGGGGACGUUGCGGAGGGCGCCGCCCCGCGUCCAGUAGCGGCGGCAGGCCUUGCAGAAGUGGCGCGGCUGCGAGAGCGAGUAGUUGUUGAAGUAGCAGAACUUGGUGUUGGCCGAGUCGCAGCGCGGGCACCGGAGCGUGCCGGGCUCCGGCAGCGGCACGCGGGCCAUCCGGGCGCGCUCGGUCAUCGACACUGACGGCCGCGGCGGCUGCUCACCCGGGUUACCCUGCUGUCCCGACACAACCAGCUGCAGCGAGGCCGAGGACGAUCCGGCCACCGGCGGCGCGCUUGCCGCAGUGUUGCCGGGCACGUCCGGCAGCGGCGCCAGCUGGCCGGACGACGCAGGGAUCAGCUGGUGGUGCUGGUGCUCGCUGCCGCCACCUCCUCCCAUGAAACACUGAAGAGGCUGCUGCUGCAUCUGCGCGAAUUAGAGGCCGGAUACAUUAUUUAUGACCGAAUAAACUUUAAAGCAUGGUAUAUUCAAGAACAUGCUUAGAAGGAUGCUAAAAGCAAGUCCACAAAGUGUGACCAAAUAAGAAAACUUCAAAUCAAUCAACAAGCACGGAUCACGGAGAAAAAUAACCAGCCAGUGAAAUGAUCCGAUUGUGCUGGUGUGUGUCGGCAUGUUGAAAGAAAAUGUUAAAGAAGAGAGAGAGGGUCAGCUAGUUAAUUACCUGGGCCCAACUUGGAGGGUCGAGGAAGAUCGGGAAGGAGGAGAAAACCAUGGUGAGAUGUGAUGAGGAGUUCCCCUUGUUCCUUUCGAGCAGAGAAGACAAGUGAAAGGAGAAGAGAGGAGGGGCAAAACCAAACCACGCCUUUUCCUCCCCUUGCAAGUGCUCUCCCUUUAUAAUUUAUGUGACAUUUCUUAGCAGCUAAGGGAGAAUGAGCCAGUACCCGGCAACUCUGCAAACCAGACAGAGAUCUAAAGAGAGAGCGACACUGAGCUCAGCUAUAGCUAGUGCGGAUGGAUGUCAUGGGUCAUGAGAGGGAGGGGCAACUAAAGGUGAUUGGCCAAACCCUAACAGUACGUAGGAGCGAGCUAGCUUAGUGCGAGAGGAGAAACGCCAUGCUAAGGAAACGUCCAGCACAGCAAUGGAGAGGGAGGUGAGGAGAUGAUGUGUGCUGUGUGAGAUGGAUGAGUGAAUUGAAGGCCCCUCCUCAUGCUUGCGCCCUGUAUUUAUACACCCCCGGAGGCAAAAAAAGAAGAAGAGCUGAUCAAAGCUACCGGCCGGUCUUCUUGGCCCUGACUGCUGGCCUAGUGUUUGUUAGCUAGGGGCGGGCCCCACAUGUAUUCCGAGCUGCUGGUCGAAUCAGAUUCGCCUGUGGGUGUGUACGGAUGUUUGUACUGUGCACAUGGGUAUAUUGGAGUAUAUAAUUUGGUGGUGAGACGGGACAGGUUUGGUUUGACGUGACCAUGGUGUGCCGCUUUAAUCAUGGUUUGGAUUACUUAAUUUGGAGUGCAGAACUGCAGAUGAGAUGCGUAAUGUAAAGCACACUAGAGAAUCAAGAGGGUAUCACAAAUUCACAGUGCUUAAUGUAAUGCACUCGUAAUUUAGAAUCAAGAGGAUAUGUACUCCUAAAUCCUAUAGGGAUAUAUAUAUAUAAAAUCAUAGUAAGAGUUAGCAUCACUGAGUGUUUGAUACACCGCGGGAAAAAAAGAGGAGAUAAAGCAAGAGGUUUGAGUAGAUUGUAAAACGACUUCGGAAAAAGUUCACUGAGAUUCGUGAGAUAAAAAUACUACUACUAAAAAGUUUCUGUGAAUACUGUAUUCAUAAGCUCGGUGAUUUUUACUAACAUAUACCAGGAGGUAGUACAAAAUAUACCAGGAGGAUUGCCUAAAGCAUUAUCUAUUUUUAUAUUCCCUAUAUUUUGAAGUAUAUCUCUUUUGGAGAACUAACAGUAAAACUUUGUCAUCUUUGACUAAUUACAAACAAUUUAGAUUUUCUUUGCAAAAAAUGCAUGCUAGACAUUAGAUGGCAAACCAGCGCAAAGUUCAAAUCCGAUAUACCUAAGAGAGUGAUCCCCGGUACUUAUAAUUAUCUCAACAUGCGCUCUUCCACAUCAUCGAAAUCGUUGUAACUGUUAGAUUUACUAGCUUGAUCCACUAGCAUCUUAUUUGAUUUAUUAUUUACCAGCCGGGUACCACUAGAUCCGAAUGUAUGGCCCAGAUGAAAUAAAAACAGCCUUCAUCACCCCAUUCGGGUGCUUUUGUUAUAUCACGUUGUCAUUUGGACUGAAAAACGCUGGGGCGGCUUUUCAGCGCAUGAUUCAGAAAUGCUUGCAAAAGCAUAUCAGUCGGAAUGUAGAGGCCGACAUGAAUGACAUCGCGGUCAAGUCUAGGAACGGUUCUGACCUCCUAGCAGACCUCGUCGAGACAUUUGCAAAUCCGAGCACAUUCGAAAUAAAGCUCAACCCGGCCAAGUGCACUUUUGGGAUUCCAGCCGACAAGUUACUCGGUUUCCUCAUUUCCGAACAUGGAAUCGAUGCUAACCCUGAAAAGAUUGGCGCGAUAGUUUGAAUGAAGCAACCAGAGCACCUCCACGAAGUGCAAAGACUCACGGGUUGUCUGUAGCCCUGGGCAGAUUCAUUUCACGACUCGACAAAAAAGCCCUGCCGCUUUACCGACUCAUGAAAUAAUCAGAUAAAUUCAAGUGGACGACUGAAGCACAGGCUACGUUCCGGGAACUCAAAGCUCUGCUCUCCACCAAGCCGGUGCUCGCUGCUCCAGGCAGUCGAGAGCCUUUGCUCUUGUACAUCGCAACCAUGAAUCAAGUGGUUAUAGCACCGUGCUCACUGUGGAGCGUGAGGAACAAGCAAAGCCUUCAAGACCCAGCUACUAGUUUACUACAUUUCAGAAGUCUUGACCCCUUCCAAGCAAAGAUGCCUGCACUAUCAGAAAUUGGUUUAUGGCAUCUACCUGGCUACAAAGAAAGUGGCUCGCUAUUUUCAGGAGCACUCAGUUACUUUUGUGAGGGAUGCUCCGCUGUCCGAAAUCAUGAACAACAGAGAUGCAACGGGCCGAGUGGCCAAGUGGGCUAUCGAGCUCCUCCCUUUGGACAUCAAGUUCGAAGCCAAGAAAGCUAUCAAAUCUCAACCAUUGGUGGAUUUUCUGGCCGAGUGGAUGGAACAACAGCAGCCGGCCCAGAGCCUCCCCGAGCACUCGACCAUGUUCUUCGAUGGCUCGGGGGCUAGAGUAGUCCUAAUUUAUCCUAAGGGAGACUGACUCAGCUAUCUGCUGCAGAUUCACUUUGAUUCUCCAACAGCAAAGCCGAGUGCGGGGCCCUCUUCUAUGGACUGUGAAUGGCUAUCUCACUUGGCAUCCGCCGACUGACGGUCUAUGACGACUCGGAUCUUGUGGUGAACCAAGUGAUGAAAGAAUAGGACAUCCGCACCCCGACCAUGAUAGGAUACUGCAAUGUAGUCAGGAAACUGGAGAAAAACUUCAAGGGGUUGGAGUUACACUACGUUCCCCGACUCAAGAAUCGGGUCAUUGAUGAUUUAGCCAAGAUUAGUUCCACUCGGAAGGAAGUACCUAAGAAUGUGUUCCUUGAUCAUUUGCACUCCCGGACGAUCAAAACAAAUCCCUAUGUAGAGGAGCCCCCGCAACCAGCGGACUGUCCAAUCCGACUGAAGUUGAUAUUCCGUCAGUGAUCAAUUUGGUUCACAAAGUGAUGAAGAUCAUUCCCGAGUGGACUGAGCCGUACAUAGUAUACUUGCUCAGGCAGGAACUCCCCUGAGAUGAGGUGGAGGCCCGCCAGAUUGUCCAUCGAUCGAAGGCUUGCACUGUCAUGGGUGAUCAUCUCUACAAGAAAAGUACUUCUCGCGUUGUGCAAUGCCGUGUUUCACCAGAGGAAGGGAAGCAAAUCUUGAAGUAGAUUCACUCGGGAACAUGUGGUCACCAUGCGUCCUCUCAAACACUGGUUGCCAAGGUGUCUCGGGCGGGCUUCUACUGGCCCCGCGCCAAUGAAGCAGCCAGAUACGUUGUAGAACAACGCAUCGAAUGCUAGUUCUACGCGAAUUAGUCGCACACGCUAGUAUUUGCGCUAAAGACAAUUCCCCUCACGUGGCCAUUCGUCGUCUGGGGGUUGGAUAUGAUUGGACCCCUCCGGACUGGGACCAGCGGGUUCACUCAUCUGUUGGUGCAACUGGACAAAUUCACCAAGUGGAUUGAAGUGAAGCCCAUCAACAAGUUGGACUCGGCCACAGCGGUCAAAUUCAUCAUAGAGAUAAUUUUCAGAUUUGGAGAGCAUCAUCAUUGACAACGGGUCGAACUUCGACUCGGGCGAAUACCGCGAAUUUUGCUACACACAGAGCACUCGGGUCGAUUACGCCUGCGUGGCUCACCCGCAGUGGAAUGGUCAGGCAAAGCAGGUGAAUGGCUUGAUACUCCAAGGGCUAAGCAUGUGCCUCAUGCACGACCUAGAGCAUGACAUAGGAGCAUGGGUCCCGGAGCUGCCAUCGUUCCUCUGGGUUGUGGACGACUCUGAAUCGAUCCAUGAAUCUGAUACGUCUCCAACAUAUCAAUAAUUUUUUAUUGUUCCAUGCUAUUAUAGUAUCAAUCUUGGAUGUUUUAUAUGCAAUUAUAUGCUAUUUUAUAUCAGUUUUUGGGACUAACCUAUCAGCCUAGUGCCCGGUGCCGGUUCCUGUUGUUUGCUUGCUUUUGGCUUUUUAGAAAAACAAUAUUAAAUGAAGUCCAAAUGGAAAAAAAGUUUGGAUUAAUUUUUUCUGGACCAGAGGGACCCUAGAAGGUUCAGGAGGAGGCCAGAAGAGCUAUGGGUGAGCGACAAGCUUGUAGGGCCUGCCCCUUGAGCUUGUGGGCCCCUGGUACCAUGUCUUGACCUAAUUUUGCCUCUUUAAAUUCAUGAAUAUUCCCAAACCAACAAAGCGCCACCCGAAACAAUUUUUCAGCGACUGCAAGCUUUUUUUCUUCUACUAUCCCAUCUGGAGGCCUUUUUCGUUAUUCUCUGUGGGAGGAAGAAUCAAUCACGGAGGGCUUGUACAUCGUUCUUGCUGCCUUCCGAUGAUGCGUGAGUAGUUUACCACAGACGUGUGGGUCCAUAGCUAGUAGCUAGAUGGCUUCUUCUCUCUCUUUGAUCUUCAAUACCAUGUUCUCCUCGAUGUUCUUCGAGUUCUAUCCGAUGUAAUCUUCUUUUGUGAUGUGUUUGUUGGAAUCCGAUGAAUUGUGGGUUUAUGAUCUGAAUAUUUAUGAGAAGUAAUAGAGUUUUUUCUCAACUUUAUUAUGCAUGAUUGUUAUAGCUUUGUAUUUAUCUCCGAUCUAUCUGUUUGGUUUGGCCAACUAGAUUGAUUUAUCUUCAGUGGGAGAGGUGCUUUGUGAUGGGUUCAACCUUGCGGUGCUAUAUCCCAGUGACAGAAAGGUGCCAUUAAUGGUAAAACGAUGGGGUUUAUUCAUAUUAACUGAGUUUACUUUGUCUACAUCAUGUCAUCUUGCUUAAGGCGUUACUCUGCUUUUAUUAACUUAACACCCUAGAUGCAUACUGGAUAUCGGCCGAUGAGUGGAGUAAUAGUAGUAGAUGCAGGCAGGAGUUGGUCUACUUGUCUCGACAUGAUGCCUAUAUACAUGAUCAUUGCCUUGAAUGUCGUCAUAACUAUGUGCUUUUCUAUCAAUUGCCCAACAGUAUUGUUCACCCACCCUAUGUUAUGUGUUCGAGAGAGAAGCCUGUAGUGAAAACCAUGGCCCCUGGGUUUAAUUAAUCAUAUUACAAAAAUCAAAAAUAAUUUUGCUACAAUUUUACUCUUUAUUUUGUUUUGCAAUUUAUCGAUCUACCAGUAUGAGAUUUGAUCCUUGCAAUUAACGAGUUCAAGGGGAUUGACAACCUUCUUGCCCGUGUUGGAUGCAAGUAUUUGCUUUUGUUUGUGCAAGUGUUGUUCAUGAGGCUUUGCGUGAUUCUCCUAUUGGUUCGAUAAACCUUGGUUCUCACUGAGGGAAAUACUUAUCUCUAUUGUACUGCAUCUCCCCUUCCCUUCGGAAAAAAUCCCAACGCAACUCACAAGUAGCAAGAAGAAUUUAUGGCUCCAUUGCCGGGGAGACAUCAUCAAAACCUAUCAAGUACCUUCGCACAAACUAUCAUCUACUCGCUCUACUUUUUAUUUGCCUGUGCCUCUCGUUUUCAUCUCCCAACUUCUCAUAAAAAAUAGAAAAACACAAAAAAAUGUUUGCUUGCUACCAUGUCUAAAUUUGUUAUCGCUAAGGGUGAAGAUGAGGAUGGUAAACCUCCCGAGAUGGUAACCCCCAUAAAAUUGGAUACUAAAACUUUUGUGACGGGGAGUGGGAAUAUCAUAGGAAAAAGUAUUAUUCAAGAGUUCUUCACUUGUACGGGAACAUUGGUUUGUAAUGAUAUUCAUAUUCUUAAAAGAACCAAUAGUUAUUCCCAAGCUAUUUCUGCACUCACUAUUAAACUUGGAAGAAGAUUCAUACGUACUCAUCCUACUUUGUAAGAUUGUUUUUUAUCUACCAUCAUAAACAAUCCUAAGGCUAAAAAGAUAACCACUCGUAUCCACAUGAAUGAAUUUGACAAUAUAGUGCGAGAAGCUAGAGAAACCUUUGACUUCUAUAAUGUGAAUUAUGAAUGUCCUAUGACAGAUGAAAUUUUAUAUGGUAGAGAUUUUAUGAGGAGACAUAAGUCUUGUGAUCAUCACGCUUUUGAGAAAAAUGCUAAAAAGAAAGUCCCCUCUUUACAUUUAAUCCAAAAAGUAUUUAAUGGUAUUAAUCGUCAAUAUUCUUGGAUUGUAAAAUGGAAUCAACAAUGUUUUGAAGAAGAGUGUCUUGAUAAUGCUAAAAUCCUAAUAAAUGAUGAAUUCACCAUUACCUAUGAAAAGUCUCUUGAUGACCAUGUCUCCCAAGAUGUUAAAACUGAUGAUGUGUCAAUUACUAAAGAUAACACGGUCCAUCAUUUGAGUUCUCCUAAUAGGAAGGCUAUGUAUGAAAAAAGGGAGCUGGUGAGAAGUGUUUAUGAUGAUGCUAUGUAUAAAUAAAUUAUGAAAGCUAAGGAUGACAAUACUUGAAAUAAUGCCUUACGCCUAGCUAGGGGCGUAAAACAAUAGCGCUUGUUGGGAGGCAACCCAACAAUUAUCUUUAUUUUUCCUUUUUGUUUUAUGUUUUUUGUGUGUUGACACAAUUAUGCUACUAUUAUGAUUGCAUUUUUAUGUUUUAAUUAGUGUUUGUGCCAAGUAAAGCCUUUGGGAUGAUUUGGUUGAUAGUUGACUUGAUUUUGUGAAAAAACGAAAACUUUUGCACCGAGUACUGAUAUUUUCAUAAUUCACUAGAAUGUGAUAAAUUUUGAAUUUUUUUACACGUUAUUGAUAUACAAAUUUCCCAUGUUGUCUUAAUUUUUCAGAAUUUUUUGAGUAGAAGUAUGCCAAUUGUUCAGAUCAUUACAGACUAUUCUGUUUUAAAAAAGUAUGUCUUCGUUGCAUAGUUUUCUUGUUUUAAUGAUGGGAUGGAUUAUACCAGGGGGUAUAAGUCAUGGAUAAGUUAGAAUACACAUUGGUACAGCGAGGUGCUAUACAAAUAGUUUUUAACCCCUUUUCACGACGGUGUUCAGAACCGUCUCCAAGUGAGUGACUGCGAUGGGGGGUCCUUCCCACACGACCGAGAAACCGUUGGGGAUAUGCCCUCCUGGCACACACGCUGUGCAAAAUGAGGCCAUGUGUGACUGGGGAGUGAUCAAAUAUGGUUAUAUGUACAAUAGUGCUAAAAAGAUACAAUUAUACAGGCGAAAUUGUUUCCGGUCGUAAGUAGAUCCCACACAGCCAGUCCCCGCUAAACGUUUUCAUUCGUAUGUACAUUCCACACAGUCAAUUCAAGGAAUUUGUUUCCGUUAGUUUGUACAUCCCACACAGUUAAUCCAAGAAGUAUGUUUUCAUUCGUAUAUACAUCCCACAUAGUCAAUCCAAGGAAAAUAUUUCCGUUCGCAGGUACAUCACACACAAUUUUCCCCAUUAAAUCGUUUGUGAUAGCGUUGCCAUUGCACACGAUAUUAACAAUUUUAUCGUUUGCAUUAUUGAAUGCAUCACACACGGUGUGUAGAAGAAAUUGUGUGGCAAAGGUUGUCCAUCACACACUUUUUAUGUAGUAAUCGUUUGCGCAAGGUGGCCUAACGCAAACAGUUUUCAAGACGAUGUCGUGUGUGAUUGUUCAUUGAUCCAACACGGUUUAUUCCAAGAGACUGUGUGCAUUGCCUGAGGUCAUCGCCCACGGUGUUUUCUCAGUAAUCGUUUGCAAUAGAAAAACCAAUUAGCAGGCUAAUUGCCCUAUUAUUAAUAAUCCAUUUAUUAAUCUAAUUGACAUUUUAUAUUAAGCACACAAUAUAUUUCAUUUCCAUAUUAAGGAAACGGGAUUUCAUAAUUGAAAUACAUCAGAGUACAACAUCAUAUAGCUUCAACACUCAGCUACCCCAUUACAUAACUACACCAGCACCAAGUUUCACACGCAACAUCUACAACCUUUUGAAAUUAGCAUUAUAGACGGAACAUAGACAGAUGAAUCUCAUCUGGAAAACUGCUGAAGAGAAGGAGAAUAUUGAGCCUUCAUUGAUGUUGAAGGUCUUUGCAACUUUAGUCCAGUGCUUGUGGAUGAUUGACCAUCCAUCCUUCGUCCUCUUCAGGAACACUUCAAUAUUGAAUCGUGGGUGUUGUAUGAAAACCUUCCUCGCCUCCAGACCAUACAUGUGGUUUGAGAGGUAAUUAUCAGUGAACUGCUUUGGAAAGGCCUGAAAAUAAGGAUAUGCAUAAAUAUCUUCUCUAGAUUUGAAAUGGCGCAAAGGAAUUAAAAAGACAAGGUAUAAUAGUUAGUACCAUCCUGUUUUUUGUCGCUAAUUUCUUUAUCGCAACAAUCUUUCUGAGUGUCCUGACUUGACUAAUAUUAAUGGACAACUCAUUUCCACAUAUGCAAAAAGGGUCAAGGGUCAAAACCUCUGACCGCAGGACCUGCAUGUGCAAGACCAAAUUGUUAAAAAUCUAAUAUUUAAAAACAAGAAGUGGAAAGGUGUGUUAUUAACUGCAACAGGCCUAAUAUUUAAAAACAAGCAAACAUAGUCAUUCAAACUUGUAUUGUGCAAGUCUAAUUACACUAGUUAUUAGACCUGUUUGGAUCCAUGGGUUAGAGUUAGUUUGAUCUAGUUUGGGCUCAAAUAGCCCUAAAGUAUCCAAACAUAAGGGCUAGUUUGAGCUAGUUGCGUCAAACCCACCCAAAACAACUAUCCCACCCAAGAGGUGCUGAUUGGGGAUAGUUCUCCUAGUGCAUUUAUUGUCAAUAUGACACUGUCAUCCAAACACCUCUUUGGCUAGAGUUAGUUCAGGGUUAGUCAUUGUUGAGUACCAUUGUUAUUUAGGAAACAUAGGAUAGCGUAGGAUUUAUUCUACCUUGACUUGUACUCCAAAAUGACCAUGUACUCCUAUAUAUAUGCCCACGAGGCUCAAGCAAUAUAAUCAACUAUUCCACCAAUCUCUCUCUCCCUUUUAACUAUCAUGAGCUAGAAACUAACUCUAACCUCUAGCUAACUUAGAGUAUCCAAACAGUGACAUUGUUAAAUCAAAUGGAAAGGCGUGUUCAAUGCUCCCUCCAGUCCUUUUUACUCUGCAUAUAAGAAUUGUCUAAAGUCAAACUUCAUAAAGUUUGACCCUAUUUAUAUGAAAAAAUAUCAACAUCUAGCAUGCUAAAGUGAUACAAUAUGAAAAUUUAAGUCAUGACACAUGUACUGAUAUUUAUUUCAUAUUGUGAAUGUUGGUAUUUUGUUCUAUAAAGUUGGUCAAACUUUAAGAGGCCUGACUUUAGACAAAUCUUAUAUGUGAACUAAAAAGAUUCGGAGGGAGUACAACAUGCUUAACAGCAACCAAAUAUAGUCAUUCAUAGAGCUAUUGUUAAAUUUGGUAUUGAUGAAAUUGUACUGCACAGUUCAUACUAGCACAUAUAGAACAUCACAUUGUUAAUCAUUGGAAUAAACAAGGCAUACUAGGAACAACCAAAGAUGGCAAUUGAAACUGGACAUGUGCUAACUACAAACAACUGAACAACCAUAAACCAUAGAAAUAAAUAAGGUGUAAUGCAAACAACCUAAUAUAGCAAUAAAUACUGGACAUGUUCUCACUACAAAAGGGGUUCGAGAAAACAAAUCAUGGGUUUCCUCACUUGUCACAGAUUGUCUCCUCCUCGUGGUCACCAUCGAUGAGGUCUGACUUGCCAGCUAAGGAUCCUAGGCCAGCAUCACAGAUCGUGUCCUUCAGAAAUGACAAAAGGGGCUCCAUGGUGAUGAAGGAUGGCAAAUUGUUCAUAACGAGCCGCAGGAGAUCAGCGGAAAGGCCAUCGAUGAGAUCAAUGGCUGUCGAACCCGAAGGGUUGGGGGUGGGCAACUUAACCUGUGACAUAACCCGCGUCAAGCUAUUGGUGUCGACGACCUCGAUGUUGUAGCCAGCGUCCGUGACAUGCCAGAAUACUCUGGCCCGCUGAUUGAAAGGCUCAGUCUAGGUCCAGUCAUUGUCGUCAGCUUCCUCGGCGGCCACCUCGCCGAUGUCGGGCGAAGAGGCCGCGGUUAAGCUCUUUUGGGCCAUUCGCUCCUCGAGCUCCUCGGGAAACGUAGCCGGGCUUAGGUUGCAAUGCUCUCGAGUGGGGGAGGGUGGGGAUGGGUAUCUCUGGGAAAGGGGGCGUUUCGUAGGCAUCAUCUAAGAAACUCAGUGUGCCAAGGGUAUGUAUAUCGGUGGGUAAACUGCACGGGCAGACCGGCAGAGGUUGACGAUGGAGGCAGCGCGGCGGCGACGGCGGUGACGACCUAGCUAGGUUUGGAGCGAGGGAGGGGUGGUGUGUAUGUGUGUGAGCGGGGGAUUUGGGGUGAGCGAUGGAUGUGGGGUGUGUAUGGAGUGGGUAAAGGUGGUGUUUGAGGAAAUGCCGUGGGUAAUGAAAAUUUUAUUGGGUGGGAGUAAAAUGGUGGGGCUACCGAAAAUUUGGAUCAAGGGAUUGAAGCAGAGAGGGGCGGGAGUAACGUACAUCACACACAGUUAAUACAUAAUAAUCGUGUGCUCUCAAACAGAAAAACACUCUAGCCGAGCAGAUAUUUUUGAGUUUGCGAGGGAUGGAGGCGGGAGUAAAAUGAUGGGGCUACUGAAAAUUUGGAUGUACUGAUUGAAGUAGAGCGGGAGUAACACACAUCGCACACGGUCCAGACAUACUAAUCGUGUGCUAUCAAACAGAAAAACUAUCUACGCGGAUGCGGGGAGAUAUUUUCGAGGGAGUUGAUAUUUUCGAGAGGGGGAGGGAAGCCUCGUGGAGCCCAAUCUGCUGUGAUCAUGUGGGUGACAGGGGCAGGGGCACGGCACAUGGGUAGUCCUAGGGAACCGUCUCUGUUUCAUACCCGAUCGCAGACGGUUGCUGUGUUCGACUCGUCUAUUGUUUAUAAAUUUGGCCAAAAAAGGCGCGAAAGGGCCAGAAUACGAACACACUUGCAUGUGGACCAAAUAUAUGUAUGAAAAGGGUGGUUUGAUGUUCAAAUACCCAAUGCACAACUUUGAUGUGGCACCUGUCUCACAAAGCGCAUGUUAUUAUUGCUAGCCCCCUCCCCCUCACACACACACAUACACACACACACACACACACUUCGUGUUGCCGGGAGGGGAAUCCUAGCUAUGAACGCAUGCCCCCAAAUAGCUAGGUCUGACAUCUCACUGUACCGUAACACAAAACUGAAAGGAGUACAUCAACCCCCCUCCCCCCUUUGCUUCCGUUCAAAUGUGGACCGUCUGCAGGCCCACAUAUGUGCUCUUCUUGCGUUACCAAAUCACAAAUUUGAUGUAGCACAUGUGCAUCGCAAAUUAACCAGGAAUCCCCGACCCCACGGAGGUUCAUCUAGUAUGAAGUAGUACUGUGCUCCCCCCCCCACACACACACUUUGAGUUGGUGGGAGGGGGCAUCUCACCAAGGCGUAUUGUAAGACUAACUAAGAAGAUUCACCACUUUGACCGUAUAACCUCUUGUUUGUUGGGUCAAAGUCAUGCAUUGACAUUCCACCACGGCCCCACAAAAUAGGCUAGUUUGCCGCCGGCAACCACGCGAGGGAGUGCCUUAAGACAACCACUGCGUGCAUGUGGCCCAGACAUAUGUAUGAAGUGUCAUGUGGUGUUUGAAUAUACCCAAUGCACAACUUUGAUGUGGCCGCGUGCUUUUGGAACCGGAAAGUCCCCACACAGAGCGAGGGUUCACGACACAUAGUAUACUAUAUAUAUAGGGAUUCAUGUGUAUGCGAGCCCUCAAACUUAGGUCUAGAAUCUCACCAUGAUCCACGUACGAUUAUACGGUAACGCGAACCAAGAGAAGAAGAAUCCACCCUGGUAACCUCUCUCGCAUUGUUGGCCGAAGUGAUGAACGUCCACGUGGGCCCAUGAAUAUAUAGGUCGUCAAUGAUAACCAAGCAAGGGAGAGUGUCCAAAGACAACCACUACAUGUAUAUAUGUGCCCCAAACAUAUGUAUGGACAUGCGUGAUGCAUGCAUAUAUGUUUGAAUACUAACAGCACAACAUUUUGAUGUGGCGCAUGCAUGCGUCGAAAAACACAUAGUCCCCACACAGAUCUGGUUCAUGAUGCGUCGCGUGCUCACCCCCCCCCCCCACUUCGACCCAGUGGGAGGGAUUCAUGCGUACACAUGCAUGCAAAGUAUAUAGUUGCAUGUACCGACCCAUAUAAGAUGAACCAAAAUUUAAUCCCCUCCUAAUUAUAAGUCAAAUUAACCUCUAUCACUGUCGAUCAAAGUGAUUGACCAAGCGGGCACACAGAGAUGGACGAAGCAUCUUGCGGAUAACCCCAUGAGUGAGUGCUAGAGGACGACCGCCAUCGCUUGCUUGUGGGCCAAACACAUAUAUGGAGAUGUGUGGCUGUGAUGUUUGAAUACCUAAUAUAUAUGCAGAACUUUGAUGUGGCACCUGCCUCGGAAACUGUUAAGUCCCCUACAUGAACCGAGGUUCAUGACACAUGGUAUAUAUAUGUUGCCCCCCUCUCCUCUUCGACGCGUAAUAUAUACUCCUAUGUGCCGUAACAGAACCCGAAAAUAAUCCUCCUUGUUCAUCAAAUUACCUUUCUUGUUGUGUCAUAUAUUAGAUGGACGAUGACCUCACGGGCCCAUGGAGGGAAGAGUCACAGGCGAAUGAGUGACAACCAUCGUCCGCAUGUGGCCCAAUGUGUUGGUGAUGUUUUUAAUACCCAAUAUGCACAACUUUUUGCAGCACCUGCCUCGAAAACCGAAAAGUCCCCACAUGGAGCGAGAUUGAUUCAUGACGUGUGUGUAGUAUAUAUGUGUUACCCCGGCCCCCUACUCCCCUCUUCGACGCGUACUAUAUAAUCCUACCACAACACAAUCCAAAAAGAAACCUCCUUGUUGGGUCAAAGUGAUGGAGGAUAACCUUGCGGGCCCACGGAUGGAAGCAUCGCACGCGAGUGAGUGUCCUAUAUGACGCGUAGUAUUGCCCCCGGCCACCCUCUUCAACGCGUACUAAUAUAUAUACUCCUACCGUACGUAUAAACAAAACCAAAAAAUGACCAUCCUUAUUGCUCAAAUCAACUUCUCUCAUCGCAUGUCAUAGUGUUGGAUGACGACCUGGACCACCGCGUGCAUGUGGCCCAAAGAUGCAUGUCAAACUUUUUCUGUAGCGAAUAUGCGACCAAAGGAGUUUAGUGUUGAAAAAUGAAAAAAAAGAUAACAUCUAUUUGUUUUUUAUACAUUGAUUGAUUUCCCAGGGAUUUAAAUGUGCAAAAAUCAAAUUUGAUCUACAUGAGACCCGUGAUAGUGCACGAAAAUGGAUUGCAAAAUCAUAUGUGUACGUGUCCCUGGGUACAUGUUUAGUCCCCAUGCAAGAAAUUUCUAACAUCUAAAAUCUUGAUUUUAAAAUCCAAUAAAUCCAAAACUAAGUUGAAAUUCAUGAAACUUAUCAUGGUGUCAUAUUGACACCAAUAGACUGUGAUAUUAUUAUUAUUUUCAAAUUUGAGAUAAGUUUUGAUAUAAUCUUCUUACAUAGGGGAAAUUAUAAAUAAUUAUCAACCAAUAUCGCAAACGAACUCUUUAUUCGAACCGUGUGCUUUAGACCAAAAAAAUGUAAGUGCAAUGCUUCAGUUAAGCAAUAAAGUGGCAUAAUUAAUCAUCCAAAAGGAAAAAUCAAUAUAAUACGUGCCGCACACGCAUCUCGUGUGCCGUACAAGCAUAUGUGAGUUGACGAGAUGCAUGCUAGCAGGCAGACCGGGAGGCCGAGGCAUGCACGUGUUCGCCAUGCACUCACCGUAGGGCGUGCUAGUAGCUGUGUGAAAUGACAGCAGGUGUGCCAGCAGUCCGCUACACGGGCUCACCGGGAGGCGAGCCAGCCCUUUGACCGCCGCCCACCUUGCUCCACUGCUCCAUAUUAAUGGCGCGCCCGAUCCGCGACCGCACACCCCAUCCAAAGUUUUCACCGCCGCAUGGAGUGUAUUAGGAUUUUGCCGAAGCGCACCAUCGGUGGGAGUGGCAACACCGGGGCUGGUGAAGCACCCGCGUAAUGCAUGAAGCUGGGCGCAGAGGUUGCGGUAGCCGCCGCCGAGGUCUCGCGUGGGAAGCAGCGCGACCUUGACUUGUCGUCGUCAUCGUGCCUCCCCAGCCGGAGUCGGAGGUCCACAGCUACUCUGGCAACGACUCCGACUCCGCACAUUGUCAAAAAGUAAUGUGGAAGACCUUCUUUAACAUGUGUUAAAAAAAAAAAAAAAAAAAACCAAGGACCUGGAGGUUAAUUUAACUGAUGGGAUGGAUCAUAGAGGUCAUUUAAUUUGACCUCUAUGAUCCAUCCCAUCAGUUAAUUUAACACCAAAACAACUUCCCAUCCAGUCACCCAUCUGAUGGCUGCUCCAGCCUGAGCACAGUUAACUUGAGAGUUCUCUUGGAUGAGCUAUUGGUGGCACAGCUAGUCCUUGCUGAUAUAGGAUGCCUCUUCGCAUCCUUAUGGCUUACCCGGAUGACCUCCCGUCACCCAAUGGCCAAUAGAUGUUGUGUAGAUAGAGCAUAUCACAUCGUACACUGACCACACUAGGGAACCCGUCGGUGAUGAAUUCCAUAAUCGCAAAUGGUUGUAUACUAGCAAGUGUUUGCCCACAACAGACACAUGGCAUAUUCCAUCACAAAUAGCUCGGAUGGAUCAACUGUAUGUCACGUAUCGCACACGCAAUUCUAAUCUGAUUCGUGCUUGAUGUCUCCGCCAUCGCUCGCACACUUCGUCUUAUUUGCCACGUAUCACUGUGCCGGCCUUUGCUCGCGUCCCUCGGCACGCUCUGCUCGACGUUAGGCGCUGCUACUUCUUGAGCUUGCGUUGGUUUUUCCCUUGAAGAGGAAAGGGUGAUGCAACAAAGUAGAGAUAAGUAUUUUCCUUAGUUUGAGAACCAAGGUAUCAAUCCAGUAGGAUACAAUGCACAAAUCAUCGAAUAGCUGCACAAACAAUCAAACAAACUUGCACCCAACGCAAUAAAGGGGUUGUCAAUCCCUUCACGGUUACUUGCAAAAGUGAUAUCUGAUAGAGAUAGAUAAACGAUAAAGUAAAUAUUUUUGGUAUUUUUGGUUUAUAGAUCGGAAAGUAAAAGAUUGCAAGAAUAGUAGAUUGGAAACUAAGAUUGUAGAUCGGAACUUGUAUGAUGGAAAACAGACCCGGGGGCCAUAGGUUUCACUAGAGGCUUCUCGCAAGAUAGAAAAUAAUACAGUGGGUGAACAAAUUACUGCUGAGCAAUUGAUAGAAAAGCGCAAAGUUAUGACGAUACCUAAGGCAAUGAUCAUGAAUAUAUGCAUCAUGUCCGUGUCAAGUAGACUGACUCCUACCUACAUCUACUACUAUUACUCCACACAUCGACCACUAUCCAUCAUGCAUCUAGAGUAUUAAGUUCAUAAAGAAUGGAGUAACGCAUUAAGUAAGAUGACAUGAUGUAGAGUAAUUAACUCAAACAAUAUGAUGAAAACCCCAUAUUUUUAUCCUUGAUGGCAACAAUACAAUACGUGCCUUCCUGCCCCUACUGUCACUGGGAAAGGACACCGCAAGAUUGAACCCAAAGCUAAGCACUUCUCCCAUUGCAAGAAAAACCAAUCUAGUUGGCCAAACCAAAUAGAUAGUUCGAAGAGAAUUACAAAGAUAUCAAAUCAUGCAUAUAAGAAUUCAGAGAAGAUUCAAAUAAUAUUCAUAGAUAACUUGAUCAUAAAUCCAUAAUUCAUCGGAUCACAACAAACACACCGCAAAAAAGUAUUACAUCGAAUAGAUCUCCAUGAACAUCGAGGAGACAUGGUAUUGAGAAUUAAAGAGAGAGAAGAAGCCAUCUAGCUACUAGCUAUGGACCCGCAGGUCUGUGGUAAACUACUCACGCUUCAUCGAAAGGGCAAUGGCAUUGAUGUAUAAGCCCUCCAUGAUCGAAUCCCCCUCCGGCAGGACACCAGAAAAGGCCCCUAGUUGGGAUCUCACGGGUACAGAAGGUUGCGGCGGUGGAGAAGUAUUUUCAUGGAUGCCCCUGAUGGUUUGGGGUAUAUGGGAAUAUAUGAGCGAAAGAAUUAGGUCAGGGGGUGCACGAGGGGUCCCACAAGGGUGGGGGUGUGCCCUACCCCCUGGGUGCGCCCUUCGUCCUUGUGGCCGCCUCGUGGCUCCUCCGACUUCACCUCCAAGUCUCCUGGUUGUUUUUUGGUCCAAGAAAAAUCAUUGCGGAGGUUUCAUUCCGUUUGGACUCCGUUUGGUAUUCCUUUUCUAUGAAACUCAAAAAUAGGGGAAAACGGGAACUGGCACUGGGCUCUAGGUUAAUAGGUUAGUCCCAAAAAUAAUAUAAAAUAGCAUAUUAAUGCAUAUAAAACAUCCAAAAGAGAUAAUAUAAUAACAUGGAACAAUAAAAAAUUCUAGAUAUGUUGGAGACGUAUCAAGCAUCCCCAAGCUUAAUUCCUACUCGUCCUCGAGUAGGUAGAUGAUAAAAACAGAAUUUUUGAUGUGGAAUGCUACCUAACAUAUUUAUCCAUGUAAUUUCUUUUAUUAUGGCAUGAAUGUUCAUAUCCAUAAAAUUCAAAACAAAAGUUUAAUAUUGACAUAAAAACAAUAAUACUUCAAGCAUACUAACAAGGCAAUUAUGUCUUCUCAAAAUAACAUGGCCAAAGAAAUCUUAUCCCUACAAAAUCAUAUAGUCUGGCUAUGCUCCAUCUUCAUCACACAAAAUACUCAAAUCAUGCACAACCCCGGUUUCAGCCAAUAAAUUGUUUCAUACUUUAGUAUUAUCAAAUCUUUUCAACUUUCACGCAAUACAUGAGCGUGAGCCAUGGACUUAGCACUAUAGGUGGAAGAGAAUAUGGUGGUUGUGUGCUACCUCUUGAGCUUGCGUUGGUUUUUCCUUGAAGAGGAAGGGGUGAUGCAGCAAAUUAGCGUAAGUAUUUCCCUCAGUUUUGAGAACCAAGGUAUCAAUCCAGUAGGAGACGACGCACAAGUCACCGAAUACCUGCACAAACAAUCAACAACUUGCACCCAACGCGAUAAAGGGGUUGUCAAUCCCUUCACGGUCACUUGCAAAAGUGAGGUCUCAUAGAGAUGGAUAAACGGUAAAGUAAAUAUUUUUGGUAUUUUUGGUUUAUAGAUCGAAAACUAGCAAGAUGUAAACGAGAUUUAAUAAUAUGGAAAAUAGACCCGGGGGCCAUAGGUUUCACUAGUGGCUUCUCUCGAGAUAGAAAGUAUUACGGUGGGUGAACAAAUUAAUGCCGGGCAAUUGAUAGAAAAGUGCAUAGUUAUGACGAUAUCUAAGGCAAUGAUCAUGAACAUAGGCAUCACGUCCGUGUCAAGUAGACAGACUCCUGCUUGCAUCUACUACUAUUACUCCACACAUCGACCGCUAUCCAGCAUGCAUCUAGAGUAUUAAAUUCAUAAAGAAUGAAGUAAUGCAUUAAGCAAGAUAUGAUGAAAACCCAUCUUUUUAUCCUCGAUGGCAACAAUACAAUACGUGCUUUGCUGCCCCUAGUGUCAUUGAGAAAGGACACCGCAAGAUUGAACCCAAAGCUAAGCACUUCUCCCACUGCAAGAAAGAUCAAUCUAGUAGGCCAAACUAAACUGAUAAUUCAAAGAUACUUGCAAAGAUAUCAAGUCAUGCAUAUAAGAAUUCAUAGAAGAACCAAAUAAUAUUCAUAGAUAAUCUUGAUCAUAAAUCCACAAUUCAUCAGAUCUCGGCAAACACGCCGCAAAAGAGUAUUACAUCGGAUAGAUCUCCAAGAAAAUCAAGGAGAACAUGGUAUUGAGAAUCAAAGAGAGAGAAGAAGCCAUCUAGCUAAUAACUAUGGACUCGGAGGUCUGUGGUAAACUACUCACGCUUCAUUGGAGAGGUAAUGGUGUUGAUUUAGAAGCCAUCCGUGAUCAAAUCCCUCCUCCAGCAGGACGUCGGAAAAGGCCUCAAGAUGGGAUCUCACGGGUAUAGAAGGUUGGGGAUGCCCCGGAAGGCAUUCCCUCUUUCAUCUUCGUCUAUCGGUAACUUUACUUGAGGCUAUAUUUUUAUUCACCACAUGAUAUGUGUUUUGCUUGGAGCGUCUUGUAUGAUUUGAGUCUUUGCUUUUUAUUUUGCCAAAAUCAUCCUUGUUGUACACAACUUUUGAGAGGGACACGCAUGAAUCGUGAUUUAUUAGAAUACUCUAUGUGCUUCACUUAUAUCUUUUGUGCUAGGCAAUAUUGCUCUAGUGCUUCACUUAUAUCUUUUUAUAGCACGGCGAGGGUUUUAUUUUAUAGUAAUUAAUGAACUCUCAUGCUUCACUUAUAUUAUUUUGAGAGUCUCUAAAUAGCAUGGUAAUUUGCUUUGGUUAUAAAUUUAGUCCUAAUAUGAUAGGCAUCCAGGAGGGAUAUAAUAAAAACUUUCAUAUAAAGUGCAUUGGAUACUAUGAGAAGUUUGAUUCCUUAUGAUUGUUUUGAGAUAUGAAGAUGAUGAUAUUAGAGUCAUGCUAGUGGAGUAUUUGUGAAUUUGAGAAAUACUUGUGUUGAGGUUUGUGAUUCCCGUAGCAUGCACAUAUGGUGAACCAUUGUGUAACAAAGUUGGAGCAUGAGGUAUUUUUUGAUUAUCAUUCUUUGUGUGGAGGUCGGGAUCGUGUGAUGGUUAACUCUAGCCAACCCUUCCCCUAGGAGCAUGCACGUAGUGCUUGGUUUCGAUGACUAAUAGAUUUUUGCAAUAAGUAUGUGAGUUCUUUAUGACUAAUGUUGAGCCCAUGGAUUAUACACACUCUCACCCUUCCACCUUUGCUAGCCCCUCUUGUGUUGCACAACUUUCGCUGGUACCAUACACCCACCAUAUACCUUCCUCAAAACAACCACCAUACCUACCUAUUAUGGCGUUUCCAUAGCCAUUCCAAGAUAUAUUGCCAUGCAACUUUCCACCGUUCCAUUUAUUAUGACACAUUUCGUCAUUGUCAUAUUGCUUUGCAUGAUCAUGUAGUUGACAUCGUAUUUCUGGCAAAGCCACGUUUCAUAAUUCUUUCAUACAUGUCACUCCUGAUUCAUUGCAGAUCCUGGUACACUGCCAGAGGCAUUCACAUAGAAUCAUAUUUUGUUCUAAGUAUUGAGUUGUAAUUCUUGAGUUGUAAGUAAAUACAAGUGUGAUGAUCAUCAUUAUUAGAGCAUUGUCCCAUGUGAGGAAAAAAAGAGGCCAAAGAAGCCAAAGAAAUAAAAAAGAGAGGCCAAAGAAGCCAAAGAAAAAAAUGACAGAAAAAGAGAGAAGAGGCAAUGUUACUAUCCCUUUUCCACACCUGUGCUUCAAAGUAGCACCAUGAUCUUCAUGAUAGAGAGUCUGCUAUUUGUCACUUUCAUAUACUAGUGGGAAUUUUUCAUUAUAGAACUUGGCUUAUAUAUUCCAACGAUGGGAUUCCUCAAAUUUCCCUAGGUCUUCAUGAGCAAGCAAGUUGGAUGCACACCCACUUAUUUUUUUCUUUUUGAGCUUUCAUAAACUUAUAACUCUAGUGCAUCCGUUGCAUGGCAAUCCGUUUCAUCUUUGGUAUGCAAUUCUUUUCUCAUCAAAUCCUCCCAAACUCGUCCUAACAAAUAUAUCCUUUCUUUUAUUUCCCUUCUAGUAUAUGAACUCAAAUCAUGAAAAGUAUUUUGAUUAGUUAUUUUGACAUUCAUAAACCCGUAAUCGGGGUCAUCACCAUAAAUAUCGUCAUAAAGCACACAAAUCUCGUUUCUAACGGGUUUCUUCAUCAUUUCAUUCACCCAAUCUAUUGAAUCCUACAUGAAUACCCCUAAUAAUCCAUUCAAAUUCCUCAUAGGCCUCAAGGUACAAAGAUUGAGAGAUUUCUGCAUAGGGAACUCUCCUCCUAAGGUUUUCACUAUAAGAUUGAUAAUCCCUAGAUUCCAAACUACGCAUAGUUUCUUUGUCAUGGAGGAUAUCCUCAAUUGGAGGGUGUUCAACAUCCUUUUGUAGUAAGCAAAAAUAUCCCUAGCUUCUAUUAAUAUAAAAUAAAAUUCACGCAUAAGAAUCAUAAUUGCAAUCUUUUUAGUUAUAGGAUGAUUAAUGUUUGGAAGUUCGUAAAACACUUUUUGCAAAGCGGGGUGAAGGUGCACAAAUUUUCUUUCUAGUUUCUCAACAAGCAUAACAAUGGAAUUUGCAACAAUUUGUAUCAAGAAGAAUAGAUCUUUUAUCAAUAAGCAUAGAUCCCAUACAAUCAAAGAACUCUUGAAUAAAACAUUUUCCUAUAAUAUUACCAUCACCCACAGAAAAAGUUUUUGCUUUGUAAUUAGGAGGAUUUGCAGUUUCAUUAUCCGACAAACAACAUUCAAAUUUUUCCUCAAGAUUUUCAAUGAUAACCUCCCCAGAUUCAGACAUGAUGGCAACAAACCAAUCCAGCAAACGUGCAAACCGAAAGUAAACGAAGAAGACAAACGGAAAAGGGGCAAAGAAAAGGCAAAUCUUUUUGAAAAUCAUUUUAGAAGUAGGGGAGAGGAAAAUGAGUGGCGAAUGGCGAAUAAUGUAAUGCAAGAGACAAGAAUUUGUGAUGGGUACUUGGAAUCUCUUGACUUGGCGUAGAUCUCCCCGACAAUGGCGCCAGAAAUUAUUCCUCCUACUUCUUGAGCUUGCGUUGGUUUUUCCAUUGAAGAGGAAAUGGUGAUGCGGCAAAAUAGAGAUAAGUAUUUCCCUCAGUUUGAGAACCAAGGUAUAAAUCUAGUGGGAGAAAAUGCACAAAUCACCGAAUACCUGCACAAACAAACAAACAAACUUGUACCCAACGCAAUAAAGUGGUUGUCAAUCCCUUCACGGUUACUUGCAAAAGUGAGAUCUGUAGAGAUAAAUAAAUGAUAAAGUAAAUAUUUUUUGUAUUUAGAUCGGAAACUUGUAUCAUGGAAAAUAGACCUGGGGGCCAUAGGUUUCACUAGAGGCUUCUCUCAAGAUAGAAAAUAAUACGGUGGGUGAACAAAUUACUGCCGAGCAAUUUAUAGAAAAGCGCAUAGUUAUGACGAUAGCUAAGGCAAUGAUCAUGAAUAUAGGCAUCACGCCCGUGUCAAGUAGACCGACUCCUGCCUGCAUCUACUACUAUUACUCCACACAUCGACCGCUAUCCAACAUGCAUCUACAAUAUUAAGUUCAUAAAGAACAGAGUAAUGCAUUAAGUAAGAUGACAUGAUGUAGAGGAAUUAACUCAAACUAUAUGAUGAAGACCCCAUAUUUUUAUCCUCGAUGGCAACAAUACAAUACGUGCCUUGCUGCCCCUACUGUCAUUGGGAAAGCACACCACGAGAUUGAACCCAAAUCUAAGCACUUCUCCCAUUGCAAGAACAACCAAUCUAGUUGGCCAAACCAAACCGAUAGUUCGAAGAGAAUUACAAAGAAUUCAAAUCAUGCAUAUAAGAAUUCAGAGAAGAUUCAUAUAAUAUUCAUAGAUAAGCUGAUCAUAAAUCCACAAUUCAUCGGAUCACAACAAACACACCGCAAAAAAGUAUUCAUCGAAUAGGUCAACAAGAACAUCGAGGAGAACAUGGUAUUGAGAAUCAAAGAGAGAGAAGAAGCCAUCUAGCUACUAGCUAUGGACCUGUAGGUCUGUGGUAAACUACUCACACUUGAUUGGAAGGGCAAUGGUGUUGAUGUAGAAGCCCUCCGUGAUCGAAUUGCUCUCCGGCAGGACACCGGAAAAGGCCCCUAGAUGGGAUCUCACGGAUACAGAAGGUUGCGGCAGCGGAAAAGUGUUUUUGUGGAUGCCCCUAUUGGUUUGGGGAUAUAUGGGAAUAUUUAGGCAAAAGAAUUAGGUCAGGGGGUGCAUGCAGGGCCCACAAGGGUGGGGGCACGCCCUACCCCCUGGGCACGCCCUCCCUCAUUGUGGCCGCCUCAUGGCUCCUCUGGCUUCAUCUCGAAGUCUCCUGGUUGUCUUCUGGUCCAAGAAAAAAUCAUCGCGAAGGUUUCAUUGUGUUUGGACUCCGUUUGGUAUUCCUUUUCUGCGAAACUCAAAAACAUGGAAAAACAGGAACUAGCACUGGGCUCUAGGUUAAUAGGUUAGUCCCAAAAACAAUAUAAAAUAGCAUAUUAAUGCAUAUAAAACAUCCAAAACGGAUAAUAUAAUAGCAUGGAACAAUCAAAAAUUAUAGAUACGUUGGAGACGUAUCGGGCGCCGCAGCGCGCUGUGCUCACCGUUAGGCGCCGCGGCGCGCUCUUCUCGCAUACCUCCACGCGCUCGGCAUGUGGACAGCUUCUCCUUGCGUGUUCAACUACUAUAUGCAUAUAUUUGGUUGCUCGUUGUUGAGGCGACCGAUGAGCGCUCUGCUCACGUCCCUGCGCACGCUCUGCUAGCGAUUGGAGCCUGCGCAUGAUCACGUUGGGGGCCAUAUGCAUGAGGUUGCACCACGCGCGUCUUCAUGUGAUGUAGUUACGUGUGACACGAUGGAGUUACACGCUGCAAAUUAGAACUACCAUCUGGGCAUGCAGAUAUUCCAAACCGUCCGGCUUCCCCUUUAAUUCUCAUGACCAUUAUAAUAACCUUAGUCUCAUCAACUUUUUGAUCGCGCCGGACAACACAACAAGCACACCCAUGAUGACACAUAGAGAGGAGAUGUCUAGCGGCGCUCCAAUGGAGUUCGGUGAGCAUAAAGUGGAGACCCACGCGUGGGAGACGGAUCUCUCAGUGGUGUACACCAUCGACCCGGCCGUGGUGGACGACUACAUCAACACCAUUGAGCAGUUGCUUUCUCGAGACAAGUACAAGGUGGUCAGCAUCAAUCUUCAGUACACUGGCGGUCGUCCCAUCAUAGAUCAAAAGGUUGCCAUUGCCCAGUUGUGUGUGCACCAUCAUGUCCUCAUCUAGCACUACUACAUGGUCACAGAGCCUUCCAAUUGUUUGGCCAGGUUUGUCAAUGACACCAACUACAAGUUCGCUAUGGUGGAAACCACUAACGAUGUAAAAGUGCUCACUGUUACGAGCUUGGACUGCAAGAACCUUGUCGAAAUCCGUGAGCACUACAGGGUCUGGGGUAGCAUGAAGAAGGACUCCCUGGUUAAACUCGCCCCGACCAUCAUCGACCCAUACUACAAAAAGAUGAAGCAAGAUGUCGGGAAACGACACCUAUGGGAUCACGGGGAUCCCUUCUACGGUUGGCGGGGCGAGGAGCUGCGCGAAGAGCAAGUCUAGUGAUCAGCGCGAGGGAUUUUUACCCAGGUUCGGGCCGCACUGGUGUGUAAAACCCUAGUCCUGCUUGUGUGUAUAUUCUGUGUUCUUGAGCUUUUGAACUAGCUGCGGUGCAUGCCCAGUCCAAACAGUCCGAAUCCCCCCUCAGUACGCCUCGGGCCUCCUUUUAUAUGUCAAAGGGGUUGCCACAGCGGCACACGGGAGGUGGAAAGUAUCUACAGUGUUCAAACUUAUCGCUCGGCACCAUACGACAAACGCAUUUAAUGUGCUGCCUACGUGCCCUCUUACUUUAUCAGGGACGGUAAUAGAAGAGCCCCGUCCGACGUUGCCUCUCCUUGCCUUGACACGCGUCUAGACUGACGAGGCAUGCAACGCUAGGCUAGCUGGCUGUUGCUGUGCUGGCGCGAUAGUAGAGCCUCCACGAAGAUCUGCAUGCCGCCAUGCAGGCGCCUGCCUAGUUGGCAAGCUGGUCGUCGCGCUGGAACGGUGUUGAGAUGGUGGAACCUUGUCGGGCGCGGGCCUGGUUGUGGCCCCGCAAUCGUCCCCAGCAAGGGUCUUGCUGGGGUCUUUGUUUUCUGGUCCCACGUGGACCUGCAGGCUAUCAAUCUUCACAAAGAUAUGCAUGCCACUAUGCAUGCUCCCCCCCCCGAGCCUUCGCCUUGACGUUGUCGAUGAUGUCAAAGCUCUCGGCCUCAAGGGUGACGGCCUUGCUGGUGCUUCGCAGGUUGCCCCGUCAAAGCUCUUGUCGGGGCUGCAUAGGUCGCCCCGGCAAGGGUGUUGCCUGGGGAGGUCCAGCUAGUCUUCUACUCUCUGCUUUCCAUCUUGAAUGUUGUCUUGGUAGUCUUGUGUUUUUUUUGCCUACUGCCCUGUCAAGCCAUGUCGCAGGUGUGGCUACGACUGCCCGUGCAAAAGUAAGGGGUAUAGAAGAGCCCAUACUUUUGUACACCGACAUAGGAUGCCAACAGAACACAUCAUGUAUCCGACACGGGGCCUGGGUGCGGCAACUGGAUGAACCUCACCUCAGGUUCGCGUCCAAGAGUGUGUACACAUGCUACGAGAUGCACAGGUGGAUCGUUGACAUGAGGAAGUGCCUCAUUACCAAAAUCGACGAGGCCGGAUCGAGCCAUAAGCAGAGCAGUAGCGGCAAGCGUCACAAGAAGUAGAUGAUGAUCAGAUGAUCCUUUAUCUUGGUUAAUUAUGCAUGUAAUAUAUAGUUGACUUUGGUGUGUGGAAAUUUCAUGUGUGUGUAUCUACAUGCAAAAUUUGGCUGGUGGAGGCUCUAAGUUUAUGAUUUUGCAUAAAGCUAGUUUUUCCCUACAAGAAAGGAAUAUAUUUAUUUAACUACUCCCAAGUUGUACAAAAAUAUUUGAGAAGGUUCCCCCAGCUCAAAUCCCAAUUAAACAAUAUCAUCAUUAAACCCCAAUCAAUUAAUUAAAGAGUGAUGAGAUCAUCAAUAAUAUCCAAUUCCAGAUACUGAUACGUCCAUUUUGCAUCAUGAUUUUAUAUCAAUAUUUAUUGUAUUAUGGGCUGUUAUUACACAUUAUAUCUCAAUACUUAUGGCUAUUCUCUCUUAUUUUACAAGGUUUACCAUGAAGAGGGGGAAUGCCGGCAGCUGUAAUUCUGGCUGGAAAAGGAGCAAAUGUUGGAAACAUAUUCUGCACAACUCCAAAAGUCCUGAAACUCCAUGAAACAACCUUUUGGAUUUAAUAAGAAUUUAUGAGCGAAAGAAAUAGGCCAGGGGGCCCACACCCUGUCCAGGAGACAGGGGGCGCCCCCCUGUAGGGCGCGGCCUCCUAUCUCCUGGGCCCCCUGGUGGGCCUCCAGCGUCCAUCUUCUGCUAUAUCAUCACUUUUACCCUGGAAAAAAUCGUGGGCAAGCUUACGGGACGAAACUCCGCCGCCACGAAGCGGAACCUUGGCGGAAUCAAUCUAGGGCUCUGGCGGAGCUGUUUUGUCGGGGACACUUCCCUCCGGGAGGGGGAAAUCAUCACCAAUGUCAUCACCAACGAUCCUCUCAUCGGGAUGGGGUCAAUCUCCAUCAACAUCUUCACCAGCACCAUCUCCUCUCAAAACCCUAGUUCAUCUCUUGUAUCCAAUCUUGUAUCAAAAACCACAAAUUGGUACCUGUGGGUUGCUAGUAGUGUUGAUUACUCCUUGUAGUUGAUGCUAAUUGGUUUACUUGGUGGAAGAUCAUAUGUUUAGAUCCUUUAUGCAUAUUAUUACUCCUCUGAUUAUGAACAUGAAUAUGCUUUGUGAGUAAUUACGUUUGUUCCUGAGGACAUGGGUGAAGUCUUGCUAUUAGUAGUCAUGUGAAUUUGGUAUUCGUUCGAUAUUUUGAUGAGAUGUAUGUUGUCUUUUCCUCUACUGGUGUUAUAUGAACAUCGACUACAUGACACUUCACCAUUAUUGGGCCUAGAGGAAGGCAUGGGGAAGUAAUAAGUAGAUGAUGGGUUGCUAGAGUGACAGAAGCUUAAACCCUAGUUUAUGCGUUGCUUCGUUAGGGGUUGAUAUGGGCCCAUAUGUUUAAUGCUGUGGUUAGGUUUACCUUAAUACUCCUUUUUGUAGUUGCGGAUGCUUGCAAUAGGGGUUAAUCAUAAGUGGGAUGCUUGUCCAAGUUAGGGCAGUACCCAAGUGCCGGUCCACCCACAUAUCAAAUUCUCAAAGUACCGAACGUGAAUCUUAUGAACGUGAUGAAAACUAGCUUGACGAUAAUUCCUAAUGUGUCCUCGGGAGCUCCUUCUUCAUUAUUAGAAUUUGUCCACGCUUAUCCUUUGCUACAUAAAGGAUUGGGCCACCUUGCUGCACUUUAUUUACUUUAUUUACUUUUUGCUCGUUACUAUUUUUCUUAUCACAAAACUAUCUAUUACCUACAAUUUCAGUGCUUGCAGAGAAAACCUUACUGAAAACCGCUUAUCAUUUCCUUCUGCUCCUCGUUGGGUUCGACACUCUUACUUAUCGAAAGGACUACGAUAGAUCCCCUACACUUGUGGGUCAUCAGAUACUCAAGAUGUCCAUAACCGGGGACACGACUAACCAUGAUUAGUUUAUACACUCUGUAGAGGUUGCGCACUUUUCCCUACAAAACUCGACCGCAUCCAUGAUCGGAAGAUCAAGACAUAGUCUUUCUGAAGCAUUAACUCUCUACUCCGGGCAGACCGGUACACCUACAACCCCCCUACAUCUACUAGUCCGCCUCUUCGAGAGCUCAUACAACUUACUCAACUAUGCCAGAGCCCAUAAUGGCUUGUGGCUGCACACGGAAGUUUCUAGUCAUGAAAUGUCAUAUGAUCCCUUUGGGCCUGGGUGGCAAACCGAGGAAAAAUCUCAGGAUACCCUGGAUUUCCCUUAAUGGACAACACUAUAUUCCCCAGGUGCCCCAACCAAUCCACCCAGAUGUGUAUUAAAGUUGCCACCUUAAGGUUAUCCAAGACUUAAAACUCUCAUAACUUCCAUGUGAAUCACGAUCCAAUCCCAGUCUAUGAGCAUGGCUAAGCAAUAAUAAAGCAUAACAUAUAUUCCCGGGGUGAUCGAAGGUAUUAGGUUCCUACCUCAAGUACUACAACCAAACCGCAUGUUCCCAAUCCUACUCAUGCAAAAUUUGAGGGGUAAUACUAAUGCAUAGUAAAAACUUGGUAUAAUAGAGUAUGAUCAAAGUGUAACUUGCUUUGCUAACGAUCAAAAAACUCUAGAGAUUCGUAGUAACAAGCUUCACACUCCGGGUAAUCUAGCAUAGACAAACAGUAGCAUACAUAAGCAAUCACUCAAACGAAAGCAACAAGAAAACGAGAAAAGAUCCAAAUCAACACGAAACAAGAAAACAUCUUAAACUAAACAGAAAGUAAAACCUAACAUCAUUAAUAUCAUAUGAAUUAGAUCUUAACAGUACAUGUGAUUAGCUACGAUUUGCAAAAAGAAACAACUCAAACGGAGAAACGAAACUCGAGAAACGAACGAAACAAGAUCAUUUACUAAUCUGAACUAAAGUCAAAUUUUACAGUGUCAAAAUCAUGUUCAAGUUGGUUAACUGGAAAGAACAGAUUGUUACGAAGAUUUAGGCAUUGGUUUCAUCUAAUUUGGACUGACGAGCAAAAAGUUACGCUAGUUUUAAGAUUAGGGGUUAAAUCGCGAGAAAACUAUUUGCGGAUAGGUCCCUGGACGAAAAUAAAACUAAAAAGAAAAAUCUACCGCACGAACGUUCAUUAACAGAACUAAUGUAACGAAAUACAUUCGUUAAAACGAAUGAACGAACGAACGUUCGUUAAAUAGGUAAACCUAAAGAAAAAAACCGAUCUAAACUAAACCAAAAAAAACGGAAACAAAACCGUUCGGCUGGUCGGUUCUUACCGGUUCAACGAGAAAAGACCGGCGGCGGCGAGAUCGGAUCGGCGGCGGCAGCGGGCGCGGUGGCGGCGACGGUGCGGGACGGCGGCGUGGGGUGCUGCGGCGGCGGCGAAUGGAGGCGACACGGCGCGGCGGUGGAGAUGCGGCGGCGGCGACUACUGCAGCUGCUGCUGCGGCUGCGGGAGGCAGGGCGAGGCGAGGUCGAGAGCGAGACCGUGGCGGCGUAUAUAAAGGGGGGUGUGGGCUCCUCCGACUAGGGGGAGGGGUCUGGCGAAGGCGGCGGUGGCUCGGACUCCGAGGAGUCCGGCGAGGGGAUGGCGCGACGCGCUGGGGAGGCGGCGGCGGCCUGGUGGGCCGGGUGUGCUUCGGCCCAGUCGAUCCGAACUUUUUUUAAAAAAUAAUUUCGCCGCAGAAAGUCCUAAAUAAGUAUAAAAAAUCUAAAAAUUCCAGAAACAAUUUUCACCAUCCAAACCUAAUAUUUAGGACAAGAUGAACAUUUUUCUGGACUAAAAUGCAAUUUUCAAAAAUGUAAUUUUUUUCGAAUUCAAAUAAAAAUACCAAUAAAAUAAUAAUGUGAUUUAAAAUUCUUUCUCCAAUAUUUCUCCUAGGUUGAAGAAGUCAUAUUAUCUUCUCUCAUUUAUUUUUAUUAUUGGAAAUAAUUGGAGAGAAAAAUAGUAAAAUCAAAUUGAUCCUCUUUUCAAAUUUGAAAUAAAUUCAAAUAUGAAUUUUGUGAAACCUCCAACUCUCUCUUUGGGUCCUUGAGUUGCUUAAGAUUUCUAGGAUCACAGCAAAAUGCAAAAAAAUAAAUAUAAUUUGCAUAUGAUGAUCUAUGUAUAACAUCCAAAUUGAAAAUUGGGAUGUUACAGGCAUGAUUGUUGUUUGUUGGUAUGCCUGAGUAUUGAUGUCUUUAUAUCAAAUUAUAGACUAUUCCUUUGAGUCACUUGUAUCCUAAUAUUCAUACUGUAAAAGAGAUUACAUGAUAAACAUGUUAGGUAGCACUCGACAUCAGAAAUUCUAUUUUUAUCACUUACCUAUUCGAGGACGGGCAGGAAUUAAGCUUGGGGAUGCUAAUACGUCUUCGACAUAUCUAUAAAUUUUUUUAUUCUUCCAUGCUAUUAUAGUGUCAUUUUUUCAAACUAACCUAUUAACCUAGUGCCCAGUGCCAUUUCCUGUUUUUUUGCUUCUUUUUGGCUUUUCAGAAAAUCUAUAUCAAAUGAAGUCCAAAUGGGAAAAAUUGUUGGAUUAAUUUUUUUCUGGACCAGAAGGGACCCUAGAAGGUUCGGGAGGAGGCCAGAAGAGCUACGGGUGAGCGACAAGCUCAUAGGGUGUGCCCCUUGAGCUUGUGGGGUCCCCGUAGCAUGUUUUGAUCUACUUCCACCUCUAUAAAUCCACAAAAUCCCCAAUCCAGCAAAGAGCCACCAGAAACACUUUUUCCACCGUCGCAAGCUUUUGUUCUUCCGCGAUCCCAUCUGGAGGCCUUUCUUGGUACUCUGCCGGAUGGGGAAUUAAUCACAGAGGGCUUCUACAUCAUCCUUUCUGGCUUCUGAUGAUGCAUGAAUAGUUUACCACAGACCUAUGGGUCCAUUGAUAGUAGAUUGAUGGCUUCUUCUCUCUCUUUGAUCUUCAAUACCAUGUUCUCCUCGAUGUUCUUCGAGUUCUAUCUGAUGUAAUCUUCUUUUGCGGUGUGUUUGUUGGGAUCCGAUGAAUUUUGGGUUUAUGAUCUGAAUAGUUAUGAGAAGUAAUGGAGUCUUUUCUGAACUUCAUUAUGCAUGAUUGUUAUAGCUUGUAUUUAUCUCCGUCUAUAUAUUUGGUUUGGCUAACUAGAUUGAUUUAUCUUCAGUGGGAGAGGACCUUUGUAAUGGGUUCAAUCUUGCGAUGCUUUAUCCCAGUGACAGAAAGGGACAAGACACGUAUUUGUAUUGUUGCCAUUAAGAGUAAAAUGAUGGGGUUUAUUCAUGUUAGUUGAGUUUACGUUGUCUACAUCAUGGCAUCUUGUUUAAUGCAUUACUCUAUUUUUAUUACUCCCUCCAUUCACUUUUAUAAGUCAUUUCAGACAAGUGAAAUUAAGUUGUUUUGCAGAAUGUCUGAAACAUCUACAAAGCCUUAUAAAAGUGAACAGAGGGAGUAACUUAAUACCCUAGAUGCAUGUUGGAUAGCGGUCGAUGGGUGGAGUAUUAGUAGUAGAUGCAAGCACGAGUCGGUCUACUUGUCUUGGAUGUUAUACCUAUAUACAUGAUCAUUACCUUGAAUACCGUCAUAACUACGUGCUUUCCUAUCAAUUGCCCUACGGUAAUCUGUUCACCCGUCGUAUGCUAUGUGUUUGAGAGAGAAGCCUCUAGUGAAAACUAUGGCCCCCGGGUCUACUUAAUCAUAUUACAAAACACGAAAAUACUUUUGCUGCAAUUUACUUCUUUUAUUUUGUUUUGAAACUUAUCCAUCUACCACUACGAGAUUUGAUCCUUGCAAUUAACAAGCUCAAGGGGAUUGACAACCCUCUUCCCCGCGUUGGGUGCAAGUAUUUGCUUUUGUGUGUGCAGGUGCUGUUUAUGAGGCUUUGCGUGAUUCGCCUAUUGGUUUGAUAAACCUUGGUUCUCACUUAGGGAAAUACUUAUCUCUAUUGUACUGCAUAUCCCCUCCUCUUCGGGGAAAAUCCCAACGCAGCUCACAAGUAGCAGAAUGGCACUCCCUUCUUCACGGUGUAUGGCGCAGAAGCUGUCCUAACGAGUGAUUUACUUCACAAUUCCCCUCAAGUGGAGCUUUAUUCGGAGGCUAAAGCUAAAGAAGCACGUUAAGAUGGCCUUGAUCUACUUGAGGGAGAGCGUGAGUUGGCACUCAUCAGGUCGACUGCCUAGCAGCAAGAUCUGCGCAUAUAUGAUGACAGGCGGGUCAGAGGGUGUGCCUUUUAGGAAGGCAGCCUAGUCCUCGGACUGGACCAAGAUAAGCCACAUAAGUUGGCCCCUCCGUGGGAAGGGCCCUUUGAGAUUGCGAAGGUUCUGAAUAAUGGAGCCUAUCAACUCUACAACUUCGAUAAAGACAUAGAAAAGCCACGAGCUUGGAAUGCGAACCUGCUCCACAAAUUCUUCACUCAAAAUAAUUUUUGCAUUGUAAUAAAGAUUUCUGAGUGACAUUUGAUGAAUAAAAGUCUUACUUUUCCUGGACAUCAUAAAAUUUGGCUUAGUGCUAUUGUUCACUCCAAUGACCUAAACACUCAGAAACUACAACACUCCCAGCGGGUGAACUUAGCCGUGGACUAGAAUUCUCCUAAGUUAAAAACUGCUCUGAGUGAGGACAUCCUCCUCACUAGGGGGCUUAGCUGCGAACUAGAAUUCACCUAAGUUAAAAACUUCUUGAAGUGAGGAUAUCCUCCUCACUCGGGGGGCUUAGCCGGGAACCAGAAUUUGCCUAAGUUAAAAACUUCUAUGAGUGAGGACAUCUUCCACACUUGAGGGCUUAGCCGCGAACUAGAAUUUGCCUAAGUUAAAAACUUAUCCGAGUGAGGACAUCUUCCACACUCGGGGGCUUAGUUGCGAACCAGAAUUCGCCUAAGUUAAAUACUACUCUGAGUGAGGACAUCUUCCUCACUCGGGGGCUUAGCAUUGAACCAAAAUUCGCCUAAGUUAAAAACUACUCCGAGUGAGGACGCCUUCCUCACUCGGGGGCUUAGCCGUGAACCAGUAUGUUCCUAAGUUAAAGACUACUCCGAGUGAGGACAUCUUCCUCACUCGAGGGCUUAACCAUGAACCAGAAUUCGCCUAAGUUAAAAACUUCUCCAAGUGAGGACAUCCUCCUCACUCGGGGGCUUAGCCGCGAACCAGAGUUUGCCUAAGUUAAAGGCACAUCAGUGAAUAAAGCAAGGAUCCAUGCAUCCGGUUAAAAACUUCGAUCUGUUCGAACGGUCAAAGAAAAAGAUGAAGUGCAUGAGCUCCAGGCUCAUCAAAGUUAAAUGGUUACAUUAAUCACUCGGAGACCGAGGCAAAUUUAUUCAGAAUCAAAGUAUUUUCACGCGUCGGACGGAGGGCUGACAGGGUCGAUGAAGGAGUCCAGAUCAAUGCCAUCCACAAUUCGAGUGGCAGCUUCAAUGAAUGUCUCCAUGAAGCCCUCGAACUUGAGCUUCUUGUUCUUGAUAACCAUGAGGGACUACAGCUUCUCUUCAUCCACAUCCUUGCAGUGGAUGUGGACGAGUAAAAGCGUGAUGUCGGCUCCACAGCAGGCUGCAGACCUCUUCCAGGAUUAAACCCGGCUAGGGAUUACGUUCAGUCGGACCAUCAUGGACUCUAGAUCACUCUGAAGCUUCUCGCCGGCAGCAGCUCCUUGUCGAUAUUCACUAUUGUAGCUCUCAAGCGGGUAAUAUACCCCAGGGUGUUGUCGAGGCGAUCGUUCAGGCGAAGGAUCGCCAUGGCGGCGCUGUCCCUAAGGAGCUGCCUAGAAGGAUCCAGAUCCUUCUCGACCCACUCGGUCUCCACCUCAACGUUGUCACAUGUCAAAAGAAACAACUAAGGAUUAGCAUUGGCAGAAAUUCAUAAGUAAAUGGGGUUCACUCGGCUAAACAUCAUACCUUCGAGCUUUGUGGACAUUUCCACGCUGAAAUCUUCAAUGUACUGCUUGAGUUCUGCCUUCUUCUUAAGGAGUUCGGUGACCUUGUCAUUCAACAUCUUCUUCUCCUCCUCAAAGGCACUCGCCAGGGUGUUGCACUUUGUUUCCCACUCAGCAUAGUGCUUCUUAAGCUCAGAGAUUUCACUAUGCGCCACCUCAGCAAUGGCCCUUGGAGUCUUGUUCUCCUCCUCGAGUUUCCUGAUUGACUUUAGCUUGUCUUCGGCUGCCUUGGUCUUGGCCUUAGCAUCCUUCCCCGCCUCCGCCAGCUUGGUGUCCUUGUCCUCGAGGGCCUAUUUCAUGGUUUCUAAAGAAAUAGCUGUCCCAAGCCUCUUUACAAUUUGGGUGUUCUUGCUAUGAACAUUUGCUAAAGUGAUUUCAUUCAAAUCAAAGGGGAAGCAAGUUUCGAAAAGCAGUCAAAUCACAAAGCUAACCUCCCAGGGCACACUUCUCCUGAGCAAGGCGCUCGCUCUUGUGCUUCCUAGCCUCUAGGUCCAAGCGAAGCUGCAGCACCUCCUUCUUCAGAGUGGCGUAGUGUCCCGAGCUUGCAGGCCCUCCAUUACGAAGCAAUAAGACAAUCAGUCGGAUAUAAAAUUCAACAAACAUGUGACUUCUGGAGCUGCUCAAGCCCAGACUCUGAUUCAUGAGUAGUUCAUAGUCAGAAGUUUUUCGCACUUAAAACAUGCUAGGGUUACUCAAGGCCCAACUCUGAUUCAUAAGAAGUCAUAGUCAUAACUUUUUCGCACUUACAAACCUACCAAGCCACCACUCGGCUAGCCGUGUGGGAGAUUGCACUCUGAGUGCUAAAUCAAGCAGAGUGUGAGUUCUCACAGACUCCCACCAAUUGCCCGAAAUUGACAACAAUCUUGGGGGCUACACCCAGUGGACGCACUUAGCAUGCCCCCACUAAAGGACAUCCACUCGGACGGUCCACAAAAAAUGAUGGUUAAUCGUUCUCAGAGCAAAAACGCUAAGUUCUAAGACUCCCGCCAACUGCUACUAGUCGGUGGCAGUCUCGGGGACUACACCCAGUGGGUGCACUUAUCUUGCCCCCACAAGAGUAAACUGACUCGAAUUGGCCCCGGUGGGCUGAGUGAAAAAAACACUCAAAGAAAAUAUAAGUUCUAAGACUCCCGCCGACUACUUCCCGUCAAUGGCAGCCUCGAGGACUACACCCAAUGGGUGCACUCAGCGUGCCCCCAUUGGAACGUAUGACACUCAGUGGAUGUACUCCGUGAAAACCCACUAGCAGAAACUCAACUUUCCAUUCAAAAGACAGAAGAAAACUCAAAAACUUGAAGACUCUGACCGAAAAAGCAUACUUACGAUGGUACUUACUCGGACGUUGGUCUGCAGCGCUUCACUCGCGUCAAACGCCUCCUCGAGUUGUUGGUUCAUCACCUUGACUCGGAUUAGAGCCUCCUUGCUCGCCCCCACUUGGCGCUCCAGGACCCUAUGUAGCGUGAAGGCAGUGACAGGGGCUGGCUUCGGCACAGGUGCGGGUUCAGGAGAUGGAGUAGUGGCCACAAGCUCGGAACCAGCCCAGGCUAUAGGGCUUGGACCCGCGGGCUUCGCAGUAGCUUUGGCUAGAGAGUCACAACCCACUCGGCUCGGUGAAGCAUCCUGCAUGAUAAUUGAUAACCCACAAGUAUAGGGGUUCACAACAGUUUUUUAGGGUAGAGAAUUCAACCCAAAUUUAUUGAUUCGACACAAGGGGAGCCAAAGAAUAUUCUCAAGUAUUAGCAGUUGAGUUGUCAAUUCAACCACACCUGGAUAACUUAAUAUCUGCAGCAAAGUAUUUAAUAGCAAAGUAGUAUGGAAGUAACGGUAACAGUGGUAAAAGUAACAGUAGCAGUUUUGUAGUAAUUGUAACAGUGGCAACGGAAAAGUAACUAAGCAAAGAUCAAUAUGUGAAAAGCUCGUGGGCAUUGGAUCAGUGAUGGAUAAUUAUGUCGGAUGUGAUUCCUCAUGCAAUAGUUAUAACAUAGGGUGACACAGAACUAGCUCCAGUUCAUCAAUGUAAUGUAGGCAUGUAUUCCGAAUAUAGUCAUACAUGCCUUUGGAAAAGAGCUUGCAUGACAUCUUUUGUCCUACCCUCCAGUGGCAGCGGGGUCCUAUUGGAAACUAAGGGAUAUUAAGGCCUCCUUUUAAUAGUACCGGACCAAAGCAUUAACACUUAGUGAAUACAUGAACUCCUCAAAUUACGGUCAUCACCGGGAGUGGUCCCGAUUAUUGUCACUUCGGGGUUGCCGGAUCAUAACACACAGUAGGUGACUAUAGACUUGCAAGAUAGGAUCAAGAACUCACAUAUAUUCAUGAAAACAUAAUAGGUUCAGAUCUGAAAUCAUGGCACUCGGGCCCUAGUGACAAGGAUUAAGCAUAACAAAGUCAUAGCAACAUCAAUCUCAGAACAUAGUGGAUACUAGGGAUCAAACCCUAACAAAACUAACUCGAUUACAUGGUAAAUCUCAUACAACCCAUCACCGUCCAGCAAGCCUACGAUGGAAUUACUCAGGCACGGCGGUGAGCAUCAUGAAAUUGGUGAUGGAGGAUGGUUGAUGAUGACAACAGCGACGGAUUCCCCUCUCUGGAGCCCCGAACGAACUCCAGAUCAGCCCUCCCGAGAGAGUUUAGGGCUUGGCGGCGGCUCUGUAUAAUAAAACGCAAUGAAUCCUUGUCUCUGAUUUUUUCUCCCUGAACGUGAAUAUAUGGAGUUGGAGUUGAGGUCAGUGGAGCUCCAGUGAGCCCACGAGGCAGUGGGCGCGCCCCCCACCCUCGUGGACAGGGUGUGGGCCCCAUGGUGAUGAUUGUUUCGCCAGUAUUUUUUAUUAAUUCCAAAAAGUUGCUCAAUGGAUUUUUAGGUCAUUCCGAGAACUUUUAAUUCUGCACAGAAAUAACACCAUGGCAGUUCUGCUGAAAACAACGUCAGUCCGGGUUAGUUCCAUUCAAAUUAUGCAAGUUAGAGUCCAAAACAAGGGCAAAAGUGUUUGGAAAAGUAGAUACGAUGGAGACGUAUCAACUCCCCGAAGCUUAAACCUUUGCUUGUCCUCGGGCAAUUCAAUUGACAAACUGAAAGUGAUAAAGAAAAACUUUUACAAACUCUGUUUGCUCUUGUUGUUGCAAAUAUGUAAAGCCAGCAUUCAAGUUUUCAGCAAAGAUUAUGAACUAACCAUAUUCACAAUAACACUUAGGUCUCAUGUUUACUCAUAUCAAUGGCAUAAUCAACUAGCGAGCAAUAAUAAUAAAUCUCGGAUGACAACACUUUCUCAAACAAUCAUAAUAUUAUAUAACAAGAUGGUAUCUCGCUAGACCUUUCUGAGACCGCACAACAUAAAUGCAGAGUACCUCUGAAGAUCAAGGACUGACUAAACAUUGUAAUUCAUGGUAAAAGAGAUCCAGUCAUAGUCAUACUCAAUAUAAAUUAAUAGUAAUGCAUGCAAAUGACAGUGGUGCUCUCCAGCUGGUGCUAUUUAAUAAGAGGAUGAUGACUCAACAUAAAAGUAAAUAGAUAGGCCCUUCGUAGAGGGAAGCAGGGAUUUGUAGAGGUGCCAGAGCUCGAUUUUGAAAUAGAGAUAAAUAAUAUUUUGAGUGGCAUACUUUCAUUGUCAACAUAACAACCAAGAGAUCUCGAUAUCUUCCAUGCGACACACAUUAUAGGUGGUUCCCAGACAGAAUGGUAAAGUUUAUACUCCCCCUCCACCAACAAUCAUCAAUCCAUGGCUUGCCCGAAACAACGGGUGCCUCCAACUAACAACAAUCCUGGGGGAGUUUUGUUUGCAAUUAUUUUGAUUUGAUUUGAGCAUGGGACUGGGCAUCUCGGUGACCAGCCAUUUUCUCGUGAGUGAGGAGCGGAGUCCACUCCUCUUGAGAAUAACCCACCUAGCAUGGAAGAUACUGACAACCCUAGUUGAUACAUGAGUUGAUCGAGUAUACAAAACAGAAUUUCAUUUGAAGGUUUGGAGAUUGGCACAUACAAAUUUACUUGGAACGGCAGGUAGAUGCCGCAUAUAGGACAGUAUGGUGGACUCAUAUGGAAUAACUUUGGGGUUUAUGGAUUUUGGAUGCACAAGCAAUAUUCCCGCUUAGUACAAGUGAAGGCUAGAAAGAGACUGCGAAGCGACCAAUUAGAGAGCGAUAACAGUCAUGAACAUGCAUUAAAAUUAAUAGACAUUGAGUGCAAGCAUGAGUAGGAUAUAAUCCAGCAUGAACAUAAAUAUUGUGGAGGCUAUGUUGAUUUUGUUUCAACUACAUGCAUGAACAUGUGCCAAGUCAAGUCACUCGAAUCGUUCAAAGGAGGAUACCACCCUAUCAUACCACAUCACAAUCAUUUUAAUAGCAUGUUGGCACGCAAUGUAAACCAUUAUAAACUCCUAGCUAAUUAAGCAUGGCAUAAGCAGCUAUAAUCUUUAAUUGUCAUUGCAAACAUGUUUAUUCAUAAUAGGCUGAAUCAGGAACGAUGAACUAAUCAUAUUUACAAAAACAAGAUAGGUCGAGUUCGUACCAGCUUCUCUCAUCUCAAUCAGUCCAUCAUGUAUCGUCAUUAUUGCCUUUCACUUGCACGACCGAACGGUGUGGAUAAUAAUAAUAGUGCACGUGCAUUGGACUAAGCUGGAAUCUGCAAGCAUUCAAUUCAAGGGAGAAGACAAGGGAAUAUGGGCUCUUGGUUAAAUCAACAAUAAUGCAUAUGAGAGCCACUCAACAUUUUCAUCAUGGUCUUCUCCUCUCGACCCCCAAAGAAAAGAAAAGAAAUAAAACUAUUUACAUGGGAAAGCUCCCAACAAGCAAAAGAAGAACGAGAAAUAUUUUUGGGUUUUCUUUUAAUUACUACUACAAGCAUGGAAAGUAAACUAGCUAAAAGCUAUAACUAAUUUGUUUGUUUUUCUUAAGGUUAUUCAAACACACAAGAAGAAAGCAAAAAAAGGAAAUAAACUAGCAUGGAUAGACAAUGAAAAAGUAUGAGCACCGACAACUAGAAUGAGUGUGUGAACAUGAAUGUAACGUCGGUGAGAAAUACGUACUCCCCCAAGCUUUGGCUUUUGGCCUAAGUUGGUUUAUGCCCAUGGAUCAAAGUUGUAGCUUGGGUCAUACUGAGAUGCAGCAGCUACCACCUCACAAGCUGCCAACCGGGCUGCCUCCGUCCUCCUCUCAUACUCGUUCGCCUCCUCCCUGGUUAUAAUAUAUCUCCUUUUCGCCUGAAAAUCAAAGAAACCAGGAGCAGGGAGAGCAAUAUGGACAGCGCGACAUCUGUCAAAGAUUAGUCGGUAUUGGAGGAACUGUUCAUUCCUCUCUAGAAACUGAUGGCUAACCAUGGCAUUAUAAUCUAGAUAAGUAGGAGGCAACUCCAUAUCAUUUUCAUGUAUGGGUAUCUCAAGAAAAUUAGCCACAUGGGUUGCAUAAAUCCCACCAAACAAGUCUCCAUUUAAACUAUUAUUAUGCAACCUACGUGCAACAAUGGCCCCCAAGUUAUAUUGUUUAUCUCCUAGCACAGCACCCUUGAGAACACUAAGAUCAGGAACACACAUGUGACAUGCCUCGUCCUUACCAUUUAUGCAUCUACCUAUAAAGAGAGCAAAAUCAUGUAUAGCAGGAAAAUGAAUACUCCCUAUGGUAGUUUGUGCUAUUUCUCUAGAUUCCCCCACUAUGAUACUAGCAAGAAAAUCUUUAAAUUCAGAUUUGCGAGGUUCACUAGCACUACCCCAUUGCGGGAGUACAAGCAGUAUAAAAUCUUCUAAGUCCAUGGUAUAUGAUUUAUCAUAAAGAUCAAAUAGGACAUUGUGAGAAUUGCGUGAAGAUGUAAAUUUAAACCUCCUCACAAAGGAAUCAGUUAAGCGGUAAUAUUGAGGGCACUUAUCUAGCAUGAAGUCCUCCAGAUUAGCAUUAUGCACAUAUGCGUCAAAUUCAUCCUUGAUGCCUGCUUGGACCAUAAACUCCUCUGACGGCCAUUCACAAGGCCGUACUUGAGCUUCCCUCAGUAGUUCAUCAUCCUGCUCACAUAUUGCGGGCCUGGGUCCUUGCUACCUUGAAGAACCACCUUGAUAUAUUUUCCUUAACAUACUUCUUCCUCUGAAAAAUAUCUAAAAAAUUUAGUAACUCGAAAUAAAAAUGAACCAAACUCAACAAAAUUGAUAGCAACUACUCCCACAAGUGCCUAGAGACUAUAUCAUGCAUUAGAACUACUUAGGACCAAAUAAAUUUGACAUGCAAGCUCAAGAACAGGGUCACCUAGGCAGUAAAAAUUUGCAAUGAAUAGAGCACUAGAACAAAAACUAAUUGGACCAUUGGAGGAGUCACACACCAAAGAACAAUCCCCCAAAGCAGUUUUGUGAGUGGAGCUUUGAGCAAGGAGAUCGAAAAUGGCAGCAAGAUGAGCUAGAACUCGUGCUUGAGCUGGUUGGUGAUUUUUUGGGAGGAAGAAGUAGUGUGUGGGCGCAGGAAUAAGUGGAGGGGGCCACCACGGGCCCACGAGGUAGGGGGAGCGCCCUAGACCCUCGUGGCCAGGUGCUGGCUCCCCCUGCUGUGUUCAGUGCCAGAUAUUCUCAAAUAUUCUAGAAAAAAAAUAUUUCAUUUUCAGGGCAUUUGGAGAACUUUUAUUUUUGAGGUAUUUUUUAUUGCAAGGAUAAAUCAGAAAACCAACAGAAGAUACUAUUUUUGCUUUAUUUAAUCUAAAUAACAGAAAGUACAAGGAGGGUACAGAGAGUUGUGCUUUCUAACUUCAUCCAUCUCAUGCUCAUCAAAAGGAAUCCACUAACAAGGUUGAUUAAGUCUUGUUAACAAACUCAUUUCGAAUUGCAUGAAACCAAAGAAUUUUUGAAUAACACUAGGUUACCUCAACGGGGAUAUGUACAUCCCCAAUAGUAAGAAUAUCAUAUUUCUUCUUGAUAGUAGGAAGAGGAAAUUCAAAACCUCCAAUAAUAAUCGUUGGAACUUCCGAUAGAAUUGAUACUGUGAACUUGAGGUUGUUUCCUCGGAAAAUGUACCGUAUGCUCAUUACCAUUAACAUGAGAAGUGUCAUUGACUUUGUUGCAAUCAAUAACAGCCCCUGCAGUAUUCAAAAUGGGUCUACCAAGGAUAAUCGACAUACUAUCGUCCUUGGGAAUAUCAAGAAUAACAAAGUCCGUGAAGAUAGUAACGUAUGCAACCACAACAGGCACAUCCUCACAAAUACCGACAGGUAUAGCGGUUGAUUUAUCGGUCAUUUGCAAAGAUAUUUCAGUAGGUGUCAACUUAUUUAAUUCAAGUCUAUGAUAUAAAGAGAGAGGCAUAAUACUAACAUCGGCUCCAAGAUCACAUAAAGCAUUUUUAACAUAGUUUCUUUUAAUGGAGCAUGGUAUAGUUGGUACUCCUGGAUCACUAAGUUUCUUAGGUAUUCCACCCUUAAAAAUAUAAUUAGCAAGCAUGGUGGAAAUUUCAGCUUUCAGUAUCUUUCUUUUAUUUGUAACAAUAUCUUUCAUGUACUUAGCAUAAGGAUUCAUUUUAAGCAUAUCAGUCAAACGCAUACGCAAAAAUAUAGGUCUAAUCAUUUCAGGAACGUGCUCAAAAUCCUCAUCAUCCUUUUUCUUGGAUGGUUUAGGAGGAAAAGGCAUGCAUUUCUGAACCCAUGGUUCUCUUUCUUUACCGUGCUUCCUAGCAACGAAGUCUCUCUUAUCAUAAUGUUGAUUCUUUGAUUGUGGGUUAUCAAGAUCAACAGCAGGUUCAAUCUCUACAUCAUUGUUAUUGCUAGGUUGAGCAUCAACAUGAACAUCAUCAUUAACAUUAUCACUAGGUUCAUGUUCACCACCAGAUUGUGUUUCAGCAUCAGAAAUAGAAAUACCAUUGGGAUUCUCAGGUGUGUCUAUCACAGGUUCACUAGAAGCAUGCAAAGUCCUCUCAUUUUUCUUGAGAGGAUGAUCAGGCAAAGCCUUAAGUAAUCGGAGAAGCCUCCCCCAAGCUUAUGGGAGACUCUCUUCUUCAAUUUGCACAAAAUUAUAUAUUUCCCUUAAAGCAGCUUGUUUCUUAUGAGCAGGGAAAUGUUUAGCAGAGAAGUAAUAAAUCAUAUCCUCGGGACUACGCACACAACCAGGAUCAAGAGAAUUAAACCAUGUUUUAGCAUCACCCUUUAAUGAGAAUGGAAAUAGCUUAAGGAUAUAGUAGCAAUGACUUUUCUCAUCAUUAGUGAAUAGGGUUGCUAUAGCAUUCAAUUUAGUAAGAUGUGCCACAAGAGUUUCAGAUUCAUAGCCAUAAAAAGGAUCAGAUUCAACCAAAGUAAUUACUCAGGAUCGACAGAGAAAUCAUAAUCCUUAUCAGUAACACAGAUAGGUGAAGUAGCAAAAGCAGGGUCAUAUUUCAUUCUAGCAUUUAGAGCCUUUUCUUUCAGUUUAGCUAAUAAUUUCUUAAGAUCAGAUCUAUCAUUGCAAGCAAGAAAAUCUCUAGCAGUUUCUUCAUCCAUAACAUAACCCUCAGGCACAACUGGCAAUUCAUAUCUAGGGGGAGAAUCUUCAUCAUCACUUUCAUCAAUAUUAUCAGUUUCAAUGAUUUCAUUCUCUCUAGCCCUAGCAAGUUGUUCAUCAAGAAAUUCACCUAAUGGCACAGUAGUAUCAAGCAUAGAAGUAGUUUCAUCAUAAGUAUCAUGCAUAGCAGAAGUGGCAUCAUCAAUAACAUGCGACAUAUCAUAAUUAAUAGCAGAAGCAGGUUUAGGUGUCGCAAGCUUACUCAAAACAGAAGGAGAAUCAAGUGGAGAGCUAGAUGGCAGUUCCUUACCUCCCCUUGUAGUUGAGGGAAAAAUCUUAGUUCUUUCAUCUUUCAAGUUUCUCAUAGUGAUCAGCAGAUAUAAAUCCCAAGUGAUUCAAAGAAUAGAGCUAUGCUCCCCGGCAAUGGCGCCAGAAAAUAGUCUUGAUAACCCACAAGUAUAGGGGUUCGCAACAGUUUUCGAGGGUAGAGUAUUCAACCCAAAUUUAUUGAUUCGACACAAGGGGAGCCAAAGAAUAUUCUCAAGUAUUAGUUGUUGAGUUGUCAAUUCAACCACAUCUGGAUAACUUAAUAUCUGCAGGAAAGUAUUUAAUAGCAAAGUAGUAUGGUAGUAACAACAGUAGCAGUUUUGUAGUAAUUGUAACAGUGGCAACGGAAAAGUAACUAAGCAAAGAUCAAUAUGUGAAAAGCUCGUAGGCAUUGGAUCAGUGCUGGAUAAUUAUGUCGGAUGUGAUUCCUCAUGCAAUAGUUAUAACAUAGGGUGACAUAGAACUAGCUCCAGUUCAUUAAUGUAAUGUAGGCAUGUAUUCUGAAUAUAGUCAUACGUGCUUAUGGAAAAGAACUUGCAUGACAUCUUUUGUCCUACCCUCCCGUGGCAGCGGGGUCCUAUUGGAAACUAUGGGAUAUUAAGGCCUCCUUUUAAUAGAGUAUUGGACCAAAGCAUUAACACUUAGUGAAUACAUGAACUCCUCAAUCUACAAUCAUCACCGGGAGUUGUCCCGAUUAUUAUCACUUCGGGGUUGCCGGAUCAUAACACACAGUAGGUGACUAUAGACUUGCAAGAUAGGAUCAAGAACUCACAUAUAUUCAUGAAAACAUAAUAGGUUCAGAUCUAAAAUCAUGGCACUCGGGGCCUAGUGACAAGCAUUAAGCAUAGCAAAGUCAUAGCAACAUCAACCUCAGAACAUAGUGGAUACUAGGGAUCAAACCCUAACAAAACUAACUCGAUUACAUGGUAAAUCUCAUCCAACCCAUCACCGUCCAACAAGCCUACGAUGGAAUUACUCACGCACGGUGGUAAGCAUCAUGAAAUUGGUGAUGGAGGAUGGUUGAUGAUGACGACGGCGACGGAUUCCCUUCUCCGAAGCCCCGAACGGACUCCAGAUCAGCCCUCCUGAGAGAGUUUAGGGCUUGGCGGCGGCUCCAUAUCGUAAAACGCGAUGAAUCCUUCUCUCUGAUUUUUUCUCCCCGAACGUGAAUAUAUGGAGUUGGAGUUGAGGUCGGUGGAGCUCCAGGGGGCCCACGAGGCAGGGGGCGCGCCCUAGGUGGGUGGGCGCGUCCCCCACCCUCGUGGACAGGGUGUGGGCCCCCUGGUGUUGAUUCUUUUGAAAGUAUUUUUGAUUAAUUCCAAAAAGUUGCUCCGUGGAUUUUCAGGUCAUUCUGAGAACUUCUUUUUUCUACACAAAAAUAACACCAUGGUAGUUCUGCUGAAAACAGUGUUAGUCCGGGUUAGUUCCAUUCAAAUCAUGCAAGUUAGAGUCCAAAAACAAGGGCGAAAGUGUUUGGAAAUGUAGAUAUGAUGGAGACGUAUCAAUAAUAUCAAUGACAGUCGGCACACUCUCGUCAACCUCAUGGGUUUGGUGGGCGGUCUUGUCAUCAUCAUCAAGCAGGAUCCUGUCAGUUGGUGUUGCACUCACAUGAGUAAUAAGACAUCAGCCUAUGGGUCACUCAGACAAGAUUCGGAGAAUGAACCAGCCAGUACCUUUGGAAGUGGCAGCGUCCGUGGCGUUGGCUUCAGUCUGGCCCUUCCAGGGGGCAUUCAGGUCCAGAGAAUUCGUCGACGUCCCAUUGGUACAGUCAUAGGAUCACUUGGCUAUCAGUCAAGACAAAUUUGCACAAAGAAAGAAUGAUGUCUCUAACACUUACGCCGAAGCCACUAGCACAACCACCUUGAUCUUCGGCGGGACAGUCUUUCGAGGCUUGGCAGAAACGUGCUUGGGUUGCUUGGGUCGCUUCUCAGCUGACUCCGUAGACUCGGCCCUGCCUGAAUGCCACCCGCGCGAGCACUCAGAUCAUGGUGCGCUUUGGUGUGAGGCUCCUUGGGAACUUCUUCUGAUGGGAAGGACUCUGCCUCCUCACCGUCCUCGGUGCUCUCCUCCUCAUCGUUCUCCUUCUCCUUAGAACAGUGACGCUCGGUGUCGCUCGCCACAUCCCCCGGGGCGUGGUCGACACUCGGUACCUACAAAAUCAUCUUCUGGAAGCUCUGCUGAAAAGAAAUCACAUUGAAAUAAGAUCCAAGCAUGAGAAAGUCGUCCAGAGAAUGACUCAGCUGGUCUAGACGCAAACUUACAUCAAGAGGCGGAUGCUCCUGGCCGUAAGCGGGCACUUUCCUGGUGCCCUGCGGGUUGUCUCGUGCGGACGUGAUGGCCUUGAGCUUAUCCUCUAUGGCCUUCUCAGUGAAGUCCUUGUGAUGAACUCGAGUCGGAUCACCCAGCCCGGUGUACAUCCACAUGGGGUGCGCCUGCAGCGGUUGGAUCCGCCGACUAAGGAACACCUCCAGCAGGUCCAUACCCUCAACCCCGGCCCUCAUGACUUCGACCAGGGCGUCGACUAGAAUACCUACAUCUACUUUCAACUCCAUGGCUACCUAAAGGAACAGGGAAGCAGCAACUCUCGCCCUCGAGUACAGGGGAAGUCCAGUCAGAGAUCCAGCACUUGGGACGUCCCUGUGAUACGUCUCCAUCGUAUCUACUUUUCCAAACACUUUUGCCCUUGUUUUGGACUCUAACUUGCAUGAUUUGAGUGGAACUAACCCGGACUGACGUUGUUUUCAGCAGAAUUGCCAUGGUGUUAUUUUUGUGCAGAAAUAAAAGUUCUCGGAAUGACCUGAAACUCCACGGAGAAUAUUUUUGGAAUUAAUAAAAAAUACUGGCAAAAGAAUCAAGGUCAGGGGGCCCACACCCUUUCCACGAGGGUGGGGGCGCGCCUACCCCCCUGGGCGCACCCCCCUGCCUCGUGGGCCCCCUGAUGCUCCACCAACCUCAACUCCAACUCUAUAUAUUCACGUUCGAGGAGAAAAAAAUAAGAGAGAAGGAUUCAUCGCAUUUUACGAUACGGAGUCGCCGCCAAGCCCUAAUCUCUCUUGGGAGGGCUAGUCUGGAGUCCGUUUGGGGCUCCGGGGAGGGGAAUCCGUCGUCGUCGUCAUCAUCAACCUUCCUCCAUCACCAAUUUCAUGAUGCUCACCGCCGUGCGUGAGUAAUUCCAUCGUAGGCUUGCUGGACGGUGAUGGGUUGGAUGAGAUUUACCAUGUAAUUGAGUUAGUUUUGUUAGGGUUUGAUCCCUAGUAUCCAUUAUGUUCUAAGAUUGAUGUUGCUAUGACUUUGCUAUGCUUAAUGCUUGUCACUAGGGCCCGAGUGCCAUGAUUUCAGAUCUGAACCUGUUAUGCUUUCAUGAAUAUAUGUGAGUUCUUGAUCCUAUCUUGCAAGUCAAUAGUCACCUACUAUGUGUUAUGAUCCUGCAACCCCGAAGUGGCAAUAAUCGGGACCACUCCCAGUGAUGACCGUAGUUUGAGGAGUUCAUGUAUUCACUAAGUGUUAAUGCUUUGGUUCGGUACUCUAUUAAAAGGAGGCCUUAAUAUCCCUUAGUUUCCAAUAGGACCCCCGCUGCCAUGGGAGGGUAGGACAAAAGAUGUCAUGCAAGUUCUUUUCCAUAAGCAUGUAUGACUAUAUUCGGAAUACAUGCCUACAUUACAUUGAUGAACUGGAGCUAGUUCUGUGUCACCCUAUGUUAUAACUAUUGUGUGAGGAAUCGCAUCCGACAUAAUUAUCCAUCACUGAUCCAAUGCCUACGAGCAUUUCACAUAUUGAUCUUUGCUUAGUUACUUUACUGUUGCCACUGUUACAAUUACUACAAAACUGCUACUGUUACUUUUUCUACCGUUACCAUUACUUCCAUAUUGCUUUGCUACUAAAUACUUUGCUGCGGAUAUUAAGUUAUCUAGGUGUGGUUGAAUUGACAACUCAACUGCUAAUACUUGAGAAUAUUCUUUGGCUCCCCUUGUGUCGAAUCAAUAAAUUUGGGUUGAAUACUCUACCCUCGAAAACUGUUGUGAUCCCCUAUACUUGUGGGUUAUCAAGACUAUUUUCUGGCGCCGUUGUCGGGGAGCAUAGCUCUAUUCUUUGAGUCACUUGGGAUUUAUAUCUGCUGAUCACUAUGCGGAACUUGAAAGACGAGAAAACCAAGAUUUAUCCCUCAACUACAAGGGGAGGUAAGGAACUGCCAUCUAGGUCUGCACUUGAUUCUCAUUCUGUUUUGAGUAAACUUGCGACAGCUAAACCUGCUUCUGCUAUUAAUUCUGAUAUGUCGCAUGUUAUUGAUGAUGCCACUUCUGCUAUGUGUGAUGCUUAUGAUGAAACUAUUUCUAUGCUUGAUAAUAUUGUGCCAUUAGAUGAAUUUCUUGAUGAACAACUUGCUAGGGCUAGAGAGAAUGAAAUUAUUGAAACUGAUAAUACUGAUGAAAGUGAUGAUGAAGAUUCUCCCCCUAGAUAUGAAUUGCCUGUUGUGCCUGAGGGUUAUGUUAUGGAUGAAGAAACUGCUAGAGAUUUUCUUGCUUGCAAUGAUAGAUCUGAUCUUAAGAAUUUAUUAGCUAAGCUGAAAGAAAAGUCUCUGAAUGCUAGAAUGAAAUAUGACCCCGCUUUUGCUACUUCACCUAUCUGUAUUACUGAUAAGGAUUAUGAUUUCUCUAUUGAUCUUGAGAUAAUUACUUUGGUUGAAUCUGAUCCUUUUUAUGGUUACGAAUCUGAAACUGUUGUGGCACAUGUUGGGAAACGUUGUAAUUUCAAAAAAAAAUCUACGCACACGCAAGAUCACGGUGAUGCAUAGCAACGAGAGGGGAGAGUGUUGUCCACGUACCCUCAUAGACCGAAAGCAGAAGCAUUAGCAUAACACGGUUGAUGUAGUCGUACGUCUUCACGAUCCGACUGAUCAAGUACCGAACGUACGGCACCUCUGAGUUCAGCACACGUUCAGCUUGAUGACGUCCCACGAACUCCGAUCCAGCAGAGCUUUGCGGGAGAGUUCCGUCAACACAACGGCGUGAUGGCGGUGUUGAUGAUGCUACCGACGCAGGGCUGCUACGGGCUGAGUUAUGUCUUGACCAUAUCACAUCACAACAUGCCCUGCAAAAACAAGUUAGACGUCCUCUACUUUGUUGUUGCAAGUUUUACGUGGCUGCUACGGGCUGAGCAAGAACCGUUCUUACCUACGCAUCAAAACCACAACGAUAUUUCGUCAAGUUAGUGUUGUUUUAACCUUCUCAAGGAUCGGGCGUAGCCACACUCAGUUCAACUAAAGUUGGAGAAACUGACACCCGCCAGCCACCUAUGUGCAAAGCACGUCGGUAGAACCAGUCUCACGUAAGCGUACGCGUAAUGUCGGUCCGGGCCGCUUCAUCCAACAGUACCGCUGAACCAACGUAUGACAUGCUAGUAAGCAGUAUGACUUAUAUCGCCCACAACUCACUUGUGUUCUACUCGUGCAUAUAACAUCUACGCAUAAAACCAGGCUCUAAUGCCACUGUUGAGGAAUGUAGUAAUUUCAAAAAAAUUCCUACGCACACGCAAGAUCAUGGUGAUGCAUAGCAACGAGAGGGGAGAGUGUUGGCCACGUACCCUCGUAGACCAAAAGCGGAAGCGUUUGCACAACGCGGUUGAUGUAGUCGUACGUCUUCACGAUCCGACCGAUCAAGUACCGAACAUACGGCACCUCCGAGUUCAGCACACAUUCAGCUCGAAGACGUCCCAUGAACUCCGAUCUAGCAGAGCUUUGCGGGAGAGUUCCGUCAGCAUGACGGCGUGAUGACGGUGUUGAUGAUGCUACCGACGCAGGGCUUUGCCUAAGCACAGCUACGAUAUUACCGAGGUGGAAUAUGGUGGAGGGGGGCACCGCACACAGCUAAGAGACCAAUGAUCAAUUGUUGUGUCUAGAGGUGUCCCCCUGCCCCCGUAUAUAAAGGAGGAAGAGGAGGAGGGGGCGGCCAAGGAGGAGGAGGCGCGCCCAAGGGGGGCAAUCCUACUCCAAGUAGGAUUCCCCCCUCUUUCCUAGUACAAGUAGGAGAGGGGAAGGAAGGGGAGGAGAAGAAGAAGGAAAGGGGGGCCGGCCCCCUAGUCCAAUUCGGUUUGGGCUAGGGGGGCACGCGCCCCUAGUUGGCCACCUCUCCUCUUCCUCCACAAGGGCCCAUGAGGCCCAAUAACCCCCCGGGAGGUUCCGGUAACCUCCCGGUUCUCCGGUAUUUAUUCGAUAACCCCCGGAACUCAUCCGGUGUCCGAAUAUAACCUUCCAAUAUAUCAAUCUUAUUGUCUCGACUAUUUCGAGACUCCUUGUCAUGUCCGUGAUCACAUCCAGGACUCUGAACUACCUUCGGUGCAUCAAAAACACAAAAACUCAUAAUACCGAUCGUCACCGAACUUUAAGAGUGCGGACCCUACGGGUUCGAGAACUAUGUAGACAUGACCGAGACACGUCUCCGGUCAAUAACCAAUAGCGGAACAUGGAUGCUCAUAUUGGCUCCUACGUAUUCUACGAAGAUCUUUAUCGGUCAAACCGCAACAACAUACAUUGUUCCCUUUGUCAUCGGCAUAUUACUUGCCCGAGAUUCGAUCGUCGGUAUCUCAAUACCUAGUUCAAUCUCGUUACCGGCAAGUCUCUUUACUCGUUACGUAAUGCAUCAUCCCACAACUAACUCAUUAGAUACAUUGCUUGCAAGGCUUAUAGUGAUGUGCAUUACUGAGAGGGCCCAGAGAUACCUCUCCGACAAUCGGAGUGACAAAUCCUAAUCUCGAAAUAUGCCAACUCAAUAAGUACCUUUGGAGACACCUGUAGAGCUCCUUUAUAAUCACCCAGUUACGUUGUGAUGUUUGGUAGCACACAAAGUGUUCCUCCGGUAAACGGGAGUUGCAUAAUCUCAUAGUCAAAGGAACAUGUAUCGGUCAUGAAGAAAGCAAUAGCAACAUACUAAACGAUCAAGUGCUAAGCUAACGGAAUGGGUCAAGUCAAUCACAUCAUUAUCCUAAUGAUGUGAUCCCCAUAAUCAAAUGACAACUCAUGUCUAUGGCUAGGAAACUCAACCAUCUUUGAUCAACGAGCUAGUCAAGUAGAGGCAUACUAGUGACACUAUGUUUGUCUAUGUAUUAACACAUGUAUUAUGUUUCCGGUUAAUACAAUUCUAGCAUGAAUAAUAAACAUUUGUCAUGAUAUGAGGAAAUAAAUAAUAACUUUAUUAUUGCCUCUAGGGCAUAUUUCCUUCAGCACAUCUUACUAAACUGAAUGAUAUAGCCACCCUAUUCACUCACGAGGAAAAAAAUUCGUUACUACUAUAUCCUUAAGCUAUUUACAUUCUCAUUAAAGGGUGAUGAUAAAACAUGGUUUAGUUCUCUUAAUCCUGGUUGUGUGCGUAGUCCCCGGGAUAUGAUUUAUUACUUCUCUGCUAAAUAUUUCCCCGCUCAUAAGAAACAAGUUGCCAUAAGGGAAAUAUAUAAUUUUGUGCAAGUUAAAGAAGAGAGUCUCCCACAAGCUUGGGGGAGGCUUCUCCAAUUACUUAAUGCUUUCCUGAUCAUCCUCUCAAGAAAAAUGAAAAUACUUGAUAUCUUUUAUAAUGGAAUAACCGAUGCUUCCAAAGACCACCUGGAUAGUUGUGCUGGUUGUGUUUUCAGGGAAAGAACUGUUGAUCAAGCUGAAUUGCUAUUGAAUAAUAUGUUGACUAACGAAAAUAAUUGGACACUUCCUAAACCAGCUCCGAAGCCAACUCUGAAGAAAAGGGGUAUUCUAUUUCUCAGUCCUGAAGAUAUGCAAGAGGCAAAGAAAUCUAUGAAAGAAAAGGGUAUUAAAACUGAAGAUGUUAAGAAUUUACCGCCUAUUUAAGAAAUACAUGGUCUUGAUAACCCGACACAGGUAGUAAAGGUAAAUUCUCUCUAUAGAUUUUAUGAAGGUGAUAUUCCUCGUCUUAAGUUUGCUAGUCAAUGCUUGGAUGAGUUUGAUAAUUUUAUUGUUAAGCAAGAAAACUUCAAUGCUUAUCUUGGGAGACAAUUGAAAAGAAAUGCUUAUAUGAUUGAACACUUGAGUGAUUAUAUGUCUAGAGUUAAAGGUGAACUUAAACUUAUUAGUAAACAUGCUUCUAUGGUUACCACUCAAGUAGAACAAGUGCUUAAAGCUCAAAAUGAUUUGCUCAAUGAAUUAAAUAACAAGAAAAAUGAUAAUGCUAUUAGAGUUGUGACUAGAGGUGGUAGAAUGACUCGGGAACCUUUGUAUCCUGAGGGCCACCCUAAGAGAAUUGAGCAAGAUUCUCACAGAACUAAUGUUGAUGCACCUAGUCCUUAUAAAAAGAACAAAAAGAAAAAUAGGACUUUGCAUGCUUCUAGUGAACCUGUUUUAGACACACCUGAGAAUCCCAAUGAUAUUUCUAUUUCUGAUGCUGAAACACAAUCUGGUGAUGAACAUGAACCUAGUGAUAAUGCUAAUGAUAAUGUUCAUGUUGAUGCUCAACCUAGCAAUAACAAUGGUGUAGAGAUUGAACCUGUUGUUGAUCUUGGUAACCCACAAUCAAAGAAUCAACAUUAUGAUAAAAGAGACUUCAUUGCUAGGAAGCACUGUAAAGAAAGAGAACCAUGGGUUCAUAAACCCAUGCCUUUUCCUCCUAAACCAUCCAAGAAAAAGGAUGAUGAGGAUUUUGAGCGCUUUGCUGAAAUGAUUAGACCUAUCUUUUUGUGUAUGUGUUUGACUGAUAUGCUUAAAAUGAAUCAUUAUGCUAAUUACAUGAAAGAUAUUGUUACAAAUAAAAGAAAGAUACAGGAAGCUGAAAUUUCCACCAUGCUUGCUAAUUAUACUUUUAAGGGUGGAAUACCAAAGAAACUAGGAGAUCCGGGAGUACCAACUAUACCAUGCUCCAUUAAAAGAAACUAUGUUAAAACUGCUUUAUGUGAUCUUGGAGCCGGUGUUAGUGUUAUGCCUCUCUCUUUAUCAUAGACUUGAAUUGAAUAAGUUGAAACCUACUAAAAUAUCUGUGCAAAUGGCUGAUAAAUCAACCGCUAUACCUUUAGGUAUUUGUGAGGAUGUGCCUGUUGUGGUUGCAAAUGUUACUAUCUUAACGGACUUUGUUAUUCUUGAUAUUCCCGAGGACGAUAGUAUGUCGAUUAUCCUUGGUAGACCCUUUUUGAAUACUGCAGGGGCUAUUAUUGAUUGCAACAAAGGCAAUGUCACUUUUCAUGUUAAUGGUAAUGAGCAUACAGUACACUUUCCGAGGAAACAACCUCAAGUUCAUAGUAUCAAUUCUAUUGGAAAAAUUCCAUCGAUUAUUAUUGGAGGUUUUGAAUUUCCUCUUCCUACUCUCAAGAAGAAAUAUGAUAUUCUUAUUAUUGGGGAUGUACAUAUCCCCGUUGAGGUAACCUAGUGUUAUUCGAAAUUUCUCCGGUUCCAUGUUAUUCGAAAAGAGUUUGUUAACAAGACUUGAUCAACCUUGUUAGUGGAUUCCUUUUGAUGAGCAUGAGAUGGAUGAAGUUAGAAAGCACAACCUUCUGUACCCUCUUUUUACAUUCUGUUAUUUAGAAUUAAAUAAAGCAAAAAUAGUAUUUUCUGUCUGUUUUCUGAAUUAUCCUUGCAAUAAAAAAAUACCCCAAAAAUAAAAGUUCUCCAAAUGCCCUGAAAAUGAAAUAUGAUUUUUUUCUAGAAUAUUUGAGAAUAUUUGGCACUGAAAACACAUCAGGGGGAGCCANNNNNNNNNNNNNNNNNNNNNNNNNNNNNNNNNNNNNNNNNNNNNNNNNNNNNNNNNNNNNNNNNNNNNNNNNNNNNNNNNNNNNNNNNNNNNNNNNNNNNNNNNNNNNNNNNNNNNNNNNNNNNNNNNNNNNNNNNNNNNNNNNNNNNNNNNNNNNNNNNNNNNNNNNNNNNNNNNNNNNNNNNNNNNNNNNNNNNNNNNNNNNNNNNNNNNNNNNNNNNNNNNNNNNNNNNNNNNNNNNNNNNNNNNNNNNNNNNNNNNNNNNNNNNNNNNNNNNNNNNNNNNNNNNACUUAUUCCUGCACCCACACACUUUGUCUUCCUCCAGAAAAAAUCACCACACAACUCACACUCGUGUUCUAGCUCGUUUUGCUGCAAUUUUCGAUCUCCUUGCUCAAAGCUCCAUUCACGAAACUGUUUUGGGGGAUUGUUCUUAGGUAUCUGACUCCUCUAAUGGUCCAAUUAGUUCUUGUUUUAGUGCUUUAUUUAUUGCAAAUUUUUGCUGCUAAGGUGACCCUGUUCUUGAGCUUGCAUGUCAAAUUUAUAUGUCCCAAAGUAGUUUUAAUGCAUGAUAUAGUCUCUAGGCACUUAUGGGAGUGGUUUCUAUCAAUCUUGUUGAGUUUUGUUUACUUUUAUUGUGAGUCACUAAAAAUUUCAGAAAUUUUCAGAGGAAGAAAAUCUUGAGGAGAUUGUUGAGAGGCUCUUCGAGCCAAAGCUCGAAGGAUAAAUAAAAUGAGGAGAAUAAAAAGCCCAAAUACAAUUUGCCUCGCACUCCGGAGGUUCGGCCGUGCGAAUGGCCCUACGAAGAAUUCUUGAGAGCCACCGGAAUUUAUGAUGAUUUUUAUUACUUGGCCGAGAAUGCAGGCCUCACCGACUUCCUUCACGACCAGCGCGAAUAGUACCUCCUACUCACUGAUAUUUUCGUGCAAAAUUUUUACUUUCAUGCUAGGAAAUCACCACCUUCGGUGGAGUUUCAUUUAUAUGAUGAGGUUAAGGAGAUGUCACUAUAUGAUUUUUGUCGGGUCUGCAAGAUACCCUUUGAGGGCAGCAUAGAGGAACCACAUCGUAAUGAUGUGGAGGGAUUUAUUAAUGAAAUUGUUGUAGGGAAACAAGAAAAGUUUCAGUCCGUUUAUAAGUGGGAUCCGGAGGAUAUCGCCAACCAGUAGCACCCAGAUGACACUCCUCUACACACCGGAGAGGGCAGCUUCGAUCCAUGGGCAUAGACCAACUUAGGCCAAAAGCCUAAGCUUGGGGGAGUACGUAUUUCUCACCGACAUUACAUUCAUGUUCACACACUCAUUCUAGUUGUCGGUGCUCAUACUUUUUCAUUGUACCAUCCAUGCUAGUUUAUUUUGUUUUCUAAGUCUUCUUCUUGUGUGUUUGAAAAAUCUUAAGAAAAACCAACAAAAUUAGCUAGUUCACUUUCCAUGCUUGUAGUAGUAGUAAUUAAAAGAAAACCCAAAAAGAUUUCUCAUUCUUCUUUUGCUUGUGGGAGCUGUCCCGUGUAAAUAGUUUUUCUUUGGGGGUCGAGAGGAGAAGACCAUGAUGAAAAUGUUGAGUGGCUCUUAUAUGCAUCAUUGUUGAUUUAACCAAGAUCCCAUAUUACCUUGUCUUCUCCUGUGUAUUAAAAUGCUUGCAGAUUCCAACUUAGUCGAAUGCACAUGCACUAUUAUUAUUUUCUACAACGUUCGGUCGUGCAAGUGAAAGGCAAUAAUGACGAUAUAUGAUGGACUGAGUGAGACGAGAAAAGCUGGUAUGAACUCGACCUAUCUUGUUUUUGUAAAUAUGAUUAGUUCAUCGUUCCUGAUUCAGCCUAUUAUGAAUAAACAUGUUUGCAAUGACAAUUAGAGAUUAUAGUUGCUCAUGCCAUGUUUAAUUAGCUAGGAGUUUAUAAUGGUUUACCUUGUGUGCCAACAUGCUAUUAAAAUGGUUGUGAUGUGGUAUGAUAGGGUGGUAUCCUCCUUUGAACGAUUCGAGUGGCUUGACUUGGCACAUGUUCACGCAUGUAGUUGAAACAAAAUCAACAUAGCCUCCACGAUAUUUAUGUUCAUGGUGAUUUAUAUCCUACUCAUGCUUGCACUCAGUGUUGAUUAAUUUUAAUGCAUGUUCAUGACUGUUGUCGCUCUCUAGUUGGUCGCUUCCCAGUCUUUUUAUAGCCUUCACUUGUACUAAGCGGGAAUACUGCUUGUGCAUCCAAAAUCCAUAAAUCCCAAAGUUAUUCCAUAUGAGUCCACCAUACCUUCCUAUAUGUGGUAUCUACCUGCCGUUCCAAGUAAAUUUGUAUGUGUCAAACUCUAAACCCUCAAAUGAAAUUCUGUUUUGCAUGCUCGAAUAGCUCAUGUAUCAACUAGGGUUGUCUGUAUCUUCCAUGCUAGGCGGGUUAUUCUCAAGAGGAGUGGACUCCGCUCCUCACUCACGAGAAAAUUGAUGGUCACCGGGAUGCCCAGUCCCAUGCUCAAAUCAAAUCAAAAUAAUUGCAAACAAAACUCCCCCAGGAUUGUUGUUAGUUCGAGGCACCCGUUGUUUCGGGCAAGCCAUGGAUUGAUGAUUGUUGGUGGUGGGGGAGUAUAAACUUUACCAUUCAGUCUGGGAACCGCCUAUAAUGUGUGUAGCAUGGAAGAUAUCGAGAUCUCUCAGUUGUUAUGUUGACAAUGAAAGUAUGCCGCUCAAAAUAUUAUUUAUCUUUGUUUCAAAAUCAAGCUCUGGCACCUCUACAAAUCCCUGUUUCCCUCUGCGAAGCGCCUAUCUAUUUACUUUUAUGUUGAGUCAUCCUCCUCUUAUUAAAAAGCACCAGUUGGAGAGCACCACUGUCAGUUGCAUGCAUUACUAUUAAUUUAUAUUGAGUAUGACUACGAUUGGAUCUCUUUUACCAUGAAUUACAAUGUUUAGUCAGUCCUUGAUCUUCAGGGGUGCUCUGCAUUUAUGUUUUGCGGUCUCAGAAAGGGCAAGUGAGAUACCAUCUUGUCAUAUCAUAUUAUGAUUGUUUUGAGAAAGUGUUGUCAUCCUAGAUUUAUUAUUAUUGCUCGCUAGUUGAUUAUGCCAUUGAUAUGAGUAAACAUGAGACCUAAGGGUUAUUGUGAAUAUGGUUAGUUCAUAAUCUUUGCUGAAAACUUGAAUGUUGGCUUUACAUAUUUGCAACAACAAGAGCAAAGAGAGUUUGUAAAAGUUUUUCUUUAUCACUUUCAGUUUGUCAACUGAAUUGCUUGAGGACAAGCAAAGGUUUAAGCUUGGGGGAGUUGAUACGUCUCCAUCGUAUCUACUUUUCCAAACACUUUUGCCCUUGUUUUGGACUCUAACUUGCAUGAUUUGAAUGGAACUAACCCGGACUAACGAUGUUUUCAGCAGAAUUGCCAUGGUGUUAUUUUUGUGCAGAAAUAAAAGUUCUCGGAAUGACCUGAAACUCCACGGAGAAUAUUUUUGGAAUUAAUAAAAAAUACUGGCAAAAGAAUCAAGGUCAGGGGGCCCACACCCUGUCCACGAGGGUGGGGGCGUGCCUAUCCCCUGGGCGCGCCCCCUGCCUCGUGGGCCCCCUGAUGCUCCACCGACCACAACUCCAACUCUAUAUAUUCACGUUCGGGGAGAAAAAAUAAGAGAGAAGGAUUCAUUGCGUUUUACGAUACGGAGCCGUCACCAAGCCCUAAUCUCUCUCGGGAGGGCUGAUCUGGAGUCCGUUCGGGGCUCCGGAGAGGGGAAUCCGUCGUCGCCGUCAUCAUCAACCUUCCUCCAUCACCAAUUUCAUGAUGCUCACCGCCGUGCAUGAGUAAUUCCAUCGUAGGCUUGCUGGACGAUGAUGGGUUGGAUGAGAUUUACCAUGUAAUCAAGUUAGUUUUGUUAGGGUUUGAUCCCUAGUAUCCAUUAUGUUCUAAGAUUGCUGUUUCUAUGACUUUGCUAUGCUUAAUGCUUGUCAAUAGGGCCCGAGUGCCAUGAUUUCAUAUCUGAACCUAUUAUGUUUUGAUGAAUAUAUGUGAGUUCUUGAUCCUAUCUUGCAAGUCAAUAGUCACCUACUAUGUGUUAUGAUCUGGCAACCCCGAAGUGACAAUAAUCGGGACCACUCCCGGUGAUGACCGUAGUUUGAGGAGUUCAUGUAUUCAGUAAGUGUUAAUGCUUUGGUCCGGUACUCUAUUAAAAGGAGGCCUUAAUGUUCCUUAGUUUCCAAUAGGACCCCGCUGCCACGGGAGGGUAGGACAAAAGAUGUCAUGCAAGUUCUUUUCCAUAAGCACGUAUGACUAUAUUCGGAAUACAUGCCUACAUUACAUUGAUGAACUGGAGCUAAUUCUGUGUCACCCUAUGUUAUAACUAUUGCAUGAGGAAUCGCAUCCGACAUAAUUAUCCAUCACUGAUCUAAUGCCUACGAGCUUUUCACAUAUUGAUCUUUGCUUAGUUACUUUACCGUUGCCACUGUUACAAUUACUACAAAACUGCUACUGUUACUUUUGCUACCAUUACUGUUACUUCCAUAUUACUUUGCUACUAAAUACUUUGCUGCAGAUAUUAAGUUAUCCAGGUGUGGUUGAAUUGACAACUCAACUGCUAAUACUUGAGAAUAUUCUUUGGCUCCCCUUGUGUCGAAUCAAUAAAUUUUGGUUGAAUACUCUACCCUCGAAAACUGUUGCGAUUCCCUAUACUUGUGGGUUAUCACCCUGCAGUAAAACCAACUGUCCUGUCAGCCCUUGAUGGAUUCAAGGAAGCUCAUCUUGGGGAAGGCGCUCCGCCCCCUAAGCUGUAUGCCCAGUCCGCCGCACUACUGGGCCGCGUUGGUCUUCGCCCCAUCCGGUGAAUCCUUCUUCACGGUCAUCGACCGGCAGGUGAAAAUGUGCAUGAACAGCCCCCAGUGGGGGUAGCAACCGAUGAAAUUCUCACAGAGUGAGACAAAAGCAAAGAGAUAGGCGAUGACAUUCGGCGGAAGGUGGUGGAGCUACACCCCGAAGAAGUCCAGGAACACGCAGAAAAAAAGGAAGGGGUGGCAAAGAAAUACCUCUCUCGAUGUGGGUGACAAGGAAGACCCACUCGUCUGCCUAUGACGCGGGCCAGCUCGUCUGCCUCCGCCAGGCUCCAGCGGCCCUCCGGAAUCAACCUAUCAUCCUUCAAUUCUAGCAAUCGCUUCCUUGUGACCCGAGAGUGGAUCCAGUCCCCCUGGGUUCGGCCCGCCGGCGGACCUCCACUCAACGACGCGCCCUUCCCCGCCUUCUCCAGCCUCGCUGUUGAGUCCUUUCCCAUUCUCUUGCAGUGGGCUGACGCCCAGGGUGGGGGCAGAGGAGUAGAGGAACAACGGAGUGGGCGAGGUGAAAUGGGGAUUUCUACCCUCUGGCCUAGUCCGUUCGCUCUUUAUACCGCGGGUAAAUCCGCCCCCUGAAUCUCCGACCAUCGAUCUCUGGGUCCAACGGCGCCCGUCGCAUUCAGCACGUAGAGGAAACAGGGCACGUGGCGGAUUUCUCGAGCGGAAAUCAAGGUGUCGUGCUCCACUUUCCCACUAGUCGCGGCACAACCGCUUCCACGCUCGCACACGAAAUUUCAAACCGCGAGAUUCUCGCCGCAAUUCAACCCAAUUGAUCUCUUCCAAUUCAUUUCCUAAAGAACACUCAUCGGUCCGACCGAUUGCCCUCCAAGGGUCACCGUGCAGUCAGACACGUAAUCAAACCUGACUGAGUUCAUCUUCAGGAUUGCGAUGGGAUGAGCUCGACGCCCCUCUAUAGGUUAACUUGGCCCUUCUUUUUUUUAGAGAAAAGGCCGUUCUUCCAGGCUCCAAGGCGCUAGCCUCAUAUUUGGAAUCUAAGAUGGCCCACGCUGGCGUUCCCCCGCGAUAAUGAGUGGCGUCUCUCCGAAGAAUCAGACCACAUGCCGAUCGUCGCCACUCGAGUUACAUGGCAUGUCCUCAUUCGGACCUCUAGUCUAUCUCUCCCGAGAGAUCACUAGCAUCCGUCCGCUGUACACAUGAGAAUCCUCUACAAUGCAACAUGUAGUAAUGUAUUCUAAGUGGGUUUUAAUUGUGACGUGUAUAAUUUUUCAUGUGAAGAUCUUUUUACUUAUGCAAAAAUUUCUCUCUUAGUUUAAAUCGUAAGGACUGAAUUAGUAUUCUACACAGACUAUAUAUAAAUAUUAGAAAACUAUAUAUAUCCAAUUUCACGGUGACGAGCGGGGUAUCAAGUAUGACGUGAACAGUUGGUCCGGUUAACCUUUUCUUUUCAAGUCGUGUAUUGAAUUGUGUGCUUAGAUGCAUCUUGUACCAAUAUUUCCAAGAAAAUCCUUUUUUUAUGUCUUUUUGGGAAGCAUCGUAUAUGUUCUUGAUAAAAAAAAUAUCACUGGGUAACUAAAAUAACUUAGUUGGUUAUAUGUAAAUGGUAUCAUUAAAAGAAGAAGAAAUCAUAGCACAACAUAGUUUAUAAUUAUCAAAUUUGGAAGCUGCAAAGUACAAAAAAACACAUAUUUUUUGAAACUGAAGGAUUAUGUUGUACUCUCAAAGGAGAAAAUGUGUAGGCUUUUUUUCUUUUUUGAAGCACUUGUUCUACGGUGAAUUUUUCAUAUACCAAAGAAAGCAAAGCAGAUACUGGUUGUAUCCUUUAUAUAUAAAGGUGUAACUGAUUGUUCAGAUAGUUUGUGAAUCUCCUCAUCUACAAAUAUAUCCCUGGAGCGCAAGUGCGUGAGCAGAGCGCUGAGAGUGCAAGGUACGACUAGUGCGCGACGAGGAAUCAUCAACCAAUCAAUCAGAGAGGCAGGCAGCAUCAAAGAUAUCUUGGCCUGGAAGACUCCUCCCUUCCUCCCUCCCUCUAGUCUAGGUUCCCCAAAUAUAUAGGCAGUCAAAGAUGGCCGGGAGGAGAGGAAAAAGCAGCCGGCAGCGAGGUAGGCGAGGCGAGUGCCUCCCAUGUGACCCGAUCCCUCUCCGGUUCAGCGCCCACCGGCGCGGCCUCCGAGGCCGGCGUCUCGUCGCGGCAGCUUUUGGUUGGCUCCCUGCCGGGCCAAAUCUAGGGUAAAGCUACCGCCGGCCACUGCCGACCCGGCGGGAAGGACGAGCUGCAGGCACGGCAAGGCAAAGCUCGCAUGCUGCCGCGACGGGCUGGGUUCUAGGCUUCUACUAGCUCGGAAGAAUCAAAUGGAAUUGCGCUGCAGGCAAGAAACGCUUUAUAUGCUUCGAGACCAAGGAAAAACUCCUCUCCUGCCGAUUCCUUCUCGCCCUCGACCGACCGGCCGUCAAACGGAAGCCGGACGUGACUGCCAUUGUGACUGGGGUGACUCUGAGAGGCUCCUGAACGAACAAAAGCGGUCGCACCAUGCCACCGACUGCUACCUGCAAAACGGACUCGUAUUCCGUCCCAUGCCACUGCACGCUGCGUUGCCACGGACGUGCUUCCCACAAUUUGUGUCAAAAAAACAUCUUAUAUUUUGAUACAAAUAGAGAAUAAACCAUCUGAUUUUUAUUUGGAUGUGUCUAGGUCUCAGUCGACUGAGACUAACCAAAUACUCCCUCCGUCCCGAAAAACAUGUCGCAGGGGGUUUCAAAUUUAAACUACCGCAUUUUUUUACAAAAACACCCUCCCGCAACUUUGAAUUCUCUCAAAGCAACCCGCACGCAGGCCCAAGUCGCGAAAAGAUCCUGCCGCCGGCCGGGCUCCAGGCCAGUGGAGCUCCUGCCGCUGCUGCCGGUGGAGCUCCUGCCGCUGCUGCAUCUUAUCCUGCAGAUUCUCCCCUGCUGCCGGCCGCUGCUUCCGCACAGGAGCUGCCCCCACUCCAAAAACGAGCUCGUCUCCUCCCCCUCCAGCAGCGGCAUCCGCACAGGGGCUCGGCGCCGUCGCACCUCCUCAGUCCUUCCCGAGCAUACCAAGAGCUCUGCCUCGCCGAUACCUAUGCCCUCCUUGAGCCACGCUUACUGGGAAGCCGCUGAUCGACGGAAUCGAUCCCGUCUCCUCCCACUCCGGCCGCCGAUUCCGCACACGAGCUCAGCGCCGUCGCUCAUCCUCUAGUUUCCCCGAGCAGCUCAACAGCUUCAGGGUGAUCUUCUGGUCCUCCAGGUCACUUUUCUCCUGUUGAUUGGUUGCUGGUUCGCUUGGCCGUGGUGGUCUGCCGCUUGCUGCCAUUGGAGCUCGUCAGUAAGCUCCUCUGGUGACCAAAAAUCGGCGCCGCUGCCAUUGGAGUAUCACCCACGCUCGGGUGCGUCUACGCUCGCCCAUGCUGCAUGCUUGCUGGUGGAGCUCGUGCUCGUGCUGCCUGCUGUUCUCCGCUGUUGAUCUUCUCUGAAGAAGGUACAGUACAAUCUCUGGUCUUCUGCUGUUCUUCCCCUGUCGAUUGAUCUGUAGCGACUGUUGUUGUUGUAAUCUCUUCGUCAUGCUGUUGCUUGUUGUAUCAAAAAUUAACUCGUAAGAUAUGUGACUUAGAUCAGUCAUUCAAGAUAACACUAUUUAUGCAUGGCACAUGAGUACAGAGUUCAACAACUAACAAUAGUAAGGAAAAUUUCAAUUUAGCAUGGAUUAGUAAUCUCUACCACUGGAGGAGUACAAAGUUCAACAGCUAACAAUAGUAAGGAAAAUUUCAGUUUCGACAUCAGUAUAAACAUCAAGCAAAACUCUUGCAAAUUUUCAGUUUCGACAGUGUCAAAGCAUACAGGCGCUAACGUGCACCUGCAGUAAGUUCUGAUCAGUUAUCUUUCGAUAAGGGCCGAAACCCAGUUUCUUCACCAAGUUUUGAACCAGAAAACUAACUUACAGAAAUGCGGCACGCAACUACAGAAACUAAUGAGACAAGCAAGGCCUUUGCUAAUCCCAUAUCAUCAAUAGAUGAUAUGGUAUGAGAUUAUCUUCUACUGCAAUUGCAAUCUAGCUUUAGUAAAAAAGGCCUACAUGUUGUAAUCAAUCUAGCUUUAUCAACUACUGCAAUUGCAAUUGCAAUCCCAGGUUGUAAGAGUAUAUAAGGGGUGUUUUCACCAACUUACAGAGAGUAUUUGAAAAUUUGGUCACUACAGGACCACUACACUACUCCAUGUCACUACUGUUCAGAAACAAACUUGGCUGAAAAUUCAGUCAUUCUAAAAUUCUAAAAUGCAUUAACAAAUUUUGCUUUAGUUUGACUUCAGAAAUCAAAAUCUAGGAGGAAAUCAAGAGGAGCUGGAGACUUUUGGCAGAACAUGGACACCCGCACAAGGGCUUGUAACUAGUCCAGCUGUUUUCCAUAUAGGAUGGUCAAUCUCCACAAAAUAAACAUCUUAUGAGAUAUACACCGAUCUUUUACACAUUAGUUAAUAAAGUAUGCUGACAGUCAUAAUUUUGUUAAAUAUCUAAACUCGGCCAUAAUUCAGUUGAACAUGCAAGGAAACAUUUAACUUGUGAUGUCAGUGAAAACAUCACCAGACUGUUAAAAUUCAAUUAAAAGAUCUGUACCUUGAUGCAGACUAAAGGGAGUAGGUUAACUGAUUUGGUCCUGUGGCUGGUCAAACUGUACCAUGCCAAAGUAUUUCCUGUAGAGAGAAAAAAAUAAGCAAACAUAAAUUGAUUGGAAUGUGUUGUAGUUUCACUAGGAGUAGUUUAUAUGCAAAGGUAAUAAAUCAGUUUUGAUUCUAUUGACAGGAGUAUAUUUUUCUUGACACUUUUCUACCAUAGGCAUGGUACUAUGAGCAAGUAAAAUUCAGCAAAACUACUCUAACUAGAGUAAAAUUCACAUGGAAUUAUCUGGGUUAUUUAGAUUAACUAGAUUAAUUUGGAUUAUUUGGAUUAAUUUGGGUGAUUUGGAUUUAUUUGAAUUAUUUGAAUUGAUUUGGAUUAAUUUGGGUUAUUUGGAUUUAUUUGAAUUGAUUUGGAUUAAUUUUAGUUAUUUGAAUUAAUUUAAAAUAUUUGGAUUUAUUUGAAUAAUUUGGAUUAAAACUAGAACAUGUAUUGUCAAUACAGGUUUGGACUUGUACUGUCAAUAGAAAAAAUUCAUGGACGCCACCGAGCUCGUCCUGGAUAGGAUCCUCUACAAGCCAAUCAACCAAACAGAUAUUUAUUGUUGAUUAGGAAAAGAAGAGCAGCAGCGAGUAGCAGGAAAAGAAGAGCAGCAGCAGAGAGAGGUGCAGAGCAAGGGAAAGGAGCGUUUGAUAAGGAGAACUGCAAGAUUUGAUAGACAUAAUGUCCUGUUUUUUUAGUAGGAGCACAUUUCACAUACAUUUUGGAGUACUCUUACUAGCUUCUUGUUAAAUCUGAAUGAAUGAUCUGUCCUGAAUAUUGUAUAGAGAACAAAUUUAUUUGGAUUAAUUUGAAUUAAUCAGAAUAAUUUGAAAUUUUUGGUCACUACAGGGCAACUACACUACUAUACAUGGCCACUACACCGCUCCAUGUCGGUGCUGUUCAGAAACAAACUUGGCUGAAAAUUCAGUCAUUCUAAAAUUUGCUUCAGUCAGUGUACUCCUAAAAUUCAGUAAACAACUACUCUGCAUACAUGCUGGAGAUCAACAUCAACAGCUACUCUGCAUAUUUUCCAAGAUGUUUCAAAGAUAUGCACACUACUGUACUUGACGGAGUAUGUCUAACAUUUGUAGCUACACUCAUUUAUAAGAAGAACACAUUUUUUCAGAAUAAACCUAAAACUUCACUGGAACUAGACUUCACUGAUAAGAAUAAACCUGAAGGACAGGAAACUUCACUUGAACUAAAACUGAAUUUGUGAUACACACAACAAACAGAACUUUUUUGCAUCUAAGAAAACCUCAUGGAUUGUCCUAAAUAAUCCGUGUCAAUAAUUAUGGUACUAACUGAUUGGCAACAGUUUCUUUUGGUGCACAAUUCAAACAGAAAAAUGACAGUACAAGCAGAUCUUCGGUACUCCAAUUUCUUUCAGUUUUGACAGCUUAUUUUCAGUUUCAAAAUGGAAAAUACACUUCUUCAGCACUCUAAUUUUACAAACUGAAAAUAGCAGCACCAAGAAUUGAGUAUAACAUGAUUGUUGUGAAUUGCCAAAUACUCCUACAGGUCAACAUGUGUAUCAACUUUAUUGGCAAUAAUUUUGUUGAUCAACAUGAACUACAGGUCACUGUUAUCCUUUGUACUAGAGCAUCUCUGUAUAAUACAGACCUGAGUAUAACAAGAGCAUCAACUACCAAAGCAUGAACUUGACUACAUCUUCAAAUAAUUACUGAAGCACAUGAACUUGAGUUUACUCAGAAAAGUGGUACCUUUUCACUCAGAGUUGAUUUGUUAGCAAUCGAUUUACUAGCUAGCUCGUCUUGUUUGGCAGCAAUAAUCUGGAUCUGGAGCGCAGGGAAGAAGAAAAUAAGCUGCAGAUCUAAUCGAGGAGGAGGAGGUGGGGAACAGCAAGGAAAUCUGGUCUUACGUGGAGCGUGCGGGCAGCGAACUCGACGCCGAUGGUGGACUUGGAGUCGAGGCAGAACUCCUUGCGGGUGAUGUGGGAGAGUAGAUUGGACUUUCCCACCACAGAGUCGCCAGUCAGCACCGCUCCGGCGAGCACCUCCACCUUGAGCGCGUAGCCGUCCGAGGAGUGGAAAAGGGGCACCUAUGCUUUCUAGUGCUCUGGUCGACGGCGUCCUGGAGGGGGCGAGCUUCGUGGUCGAAGGCGGGGAGGUGGUUGACGAUGGACAGAGGCGGAAGGAGAGCGAGGACUCCGGACAGUGGUCUCCGAAAAAUCGAACCUUCACGGCCGGCGAGCGGAGGGGAACGAGGCGGCGGGCGGAGAGGNNNNNNNNNNNNNNNNNNNNNNNNNNNNNNNNNNNNNNNNNNNNNNNNNNNNNNNNNNNNNNNNNNNNNNNNNNNNNNNNNNNNNNNNNNNNNNNNNNNNNNNNNNNNNNNNNNNNNNNNNNNNNNNNNNNNNNNNNNNNNNNNNNNNNNNNNNNNNNNNNNNNNNNNNNNNNNNNNNNNNNNNNNNNNNNNNNNNNNNNNNNNNNNNNNNNNNNNNNNNNNNNNNNNNNNNNNNNNNNNNNNNNNNNNNNNNNNNNNNNNNNNNNNNNNNNNNNNNNNNNNNNNNNNNNNNNNNNNNNNNNNNNNNNNNNNNNNNNNNNNNNNNNNNNNNNNNNNNNNNNNNNNNNNNNNNNNNNNNNNNNNNNNNNNNNNNNNNNNNNNNNNNNNNNNNNNNNNNNNNNNNNNNNNNNNNNNNNCCGGCGUCGGAGAAGAGUGAGGAAGGAGACAGAGGACCGCGAGUUUGGUCGGGAAAACCACGAGGGCUAAAUUGCAAAAAUGCCGCCGCGACAUGUUUUUCGGGGCGGAGGGAGUAUCAAUCAAGUGAUUUAUCUCUACUAUUAAAGGGGGAUCGAACGUCGUGAUGGUUCGACCUCCCCUCGACCACCUCGUUCGAUCCCCACCUAUCUUCACACGCUCACGCCGUAAAAAAAACUGGAAAAUCAGAAGAGAAAAAGGCACCCACGAAGCCACGACCGACGCCCUCGUCGCUCGAUAAAAGGAAAGAGAAAAACUGAAUAGGAAAGAAAAAACCCACGUACACAAGCCCCACCUCCCACGCCCCAUCUUUCCCUAACCCCUCGCCCCAAUCCCGCGACUCCUCCCGAGAAAGAACGCCACCGCCGGCCUCCUCCAAUCUCGCGACUCCUCCGGAGAAAAAAUGUCGACGCCGGCCUACUCCUUCACCGCUCAACUUGGCAUCAACAGCCCUCUCACACGCAGUCUCUCUUUUCCUCGCCAUAGACCCCUGCUACGCCUCCGUCCUCAAUCCCUUUGCUCCGGUUUCCACGGCAGAGAACGAAAUCGGCACCUGCGAUAGCGCCCUCACUAAGGCUUAUGGCCCGGCUCCACCUGUCCUCUCACCGGAGCAAUCGGCGAACCAAGACCGCCGACCCGCGAGACGUGCGUACAACAGCUCGGCUAGACGACCAAAGGCAAGGUUGGAUAGCCCCACCUCGACCACUUCAUCCCACCGACUAUCGUCAUCGUCAUCGUCCUCGUCCUCCACGUGAACGACGACCUCGAGCGGUAGCACAUCGCAGCCUGCGAAAUUAGAUGGAGUGGCAGAUCCGUGCCCUAUCCGGUAAAUUUCACGAUAACCAUUAUCUUCCUUCAAACGCUAAUUUCAGACUGGUCACAAUCUUCAGCCAGAGUAUAUUUCUAGACUAUUAGACGCCAUCAAUUUAACAGUUGGUGAAAGGUCACCCAUUUUUAUGUUUCUGCUUCCAGUUCCUGCCAUAAAAAAUGUGAUAUGUUGUUCCUUGCAUGCAUGGUAAUUGUUUGCAGGGCAGUGUUUAUAUGACAUUGCGUAGAACAAGAAUCAACAUAACUCCUUUCUAAUGGUUCUAUGCAACAAAAAAAUUCCUUCAACAAUGUCGGUUUGUUUAAUCCAUCGCCGGAGUACAAACCCAUCGAAACUGUAAUGGUAGCAGUGGAGGUGGCCGCGUCGGAGCAGGUCCUACAUUGUUCAUGGAUGGAGACGAUGGGUGGCGCGACCAUAAAUUCUCCGACGAGGCUUCAAGUCACUUGGAUAGGAACGUCAUUAGAGGGCAUGCAUCAGUUGUAGGAACGAUCUAAGGCAACAAAAUUCAUAGGGAAAGCAUCAGCUGACUGACAAUAGCUAGAAUGGCGUGCACACAAGACCAAAUAAUCAAAAUUCUGCAGUUUUGCCUUUGCUGCCGGCCCAAGCAUCAUCACCUUCUGGACUGAAACCAAAGGCAUGGGUCUGCAGUACCCAUUGUCCAAGUCCACAACAAUCAAAGGGGGAUCGAACGUCGUGAUGGUUCGACCUCCCCUCGACCACCUCGUUCGAUCCCCACCUAUCUCCGCACGCUCACGCCGUAAAAAAAACUGGAAAAUCAGAAGAGAAAAAGGCACCCACGAAGCCACGAUCGACGCCCUCGUCGCUCGAUAAAAGGAAAGAGAAAAACUGAAUAGGAAAGAAAAAGCCCACGUACACAAGCCCCACCUCCCACGCCCCAUCUUUCCCUAACCCCUCGCCCCAAUCCCGCGACUCCUCCCGAGAAAGAACGCCACCGCCGGCCUCCUCCAAUCUCGCGACUCCUCCGGAGAAAAAACGUCGACGCCGGCCUACUCCUUCACCGCUCAACUUGGCAUCAACAGCCCUCUCACACGCAGUCUCUCUUUUCCUCGCCAUAGACCCCUGCUACGCCUCCGUCCUCAAUCCCUUUGCUCCGGUUUCCACGGCAGAGAACGAAAUCGGCACCUGCGACGGCGCCCUCACUGAGGCUUAUGGCCCGGCUCCACCUGUCCUCUCACCGGAGCAAUCGGCGAACCAAGACCGCCGACCCGCGAGACGUGCGUACAACAGCUCGGCUAGAAGACCAAAGGCAAGGUUGGAUAGCCCCACCUCGACCACUUCAUCCCACCGACUAUCGUCAUCGUCAUCGUCCUCGUCCUCCACGUGAACGACGACCUCGAGCGGUAGCACAUCGCAGCCUGCGAAAUUAGAUGGAGUGGCAGAUCCGUGCCCUAUCCGGUAAAUUUCACGAUAACCAUUAUCUUCCUUCAAACGCUAAUUUCAGACUGGUCACAAUCUUCAGCCAGAGUAUAUUUCUAGACUAUUAGACGCCAUCAAUUUAACAGUUGGUGAAAGGUCACCCAUUUUUAUGUUUCUGCUUCCAGUUCCUGCCAUAAAAAAUGUGAUAUAUUGUUCCUUGCAUGCAUGGUAAUUGUUUGCAGGGCAGUGUUUAUAUGACAUUGCGUAGAACAAGAAUCAACAUAACUCCUUUCUAAUGGUUCUAUGCAACAAAAAAAUUCCUUCAACAAUGUCCGUUUGUUUAAUCCAUCGCCGGAGUACAAACCCAUCGAAACUGUAAUGGUAGCAGUGGAGGUGGCCGCGUCCGAGCAGGUCCUACAUUGUUCAUGGAUGGAGACGAUGGGUGGCGCGACCAUAAAUUCUCCGACGAGGCUUCAAGUCACUGACAAUAGCUAGAUUGGCGUGCACACAAGACCAAAUAAUCAAAAUUCUGCAGUUUUGCCUUUGCUGCCGGCCCAAGCAUCAUCACCUUCUGGACUGAAACCAAAGGCAUGGGUCUGCAGUACCCAUUGUCCAAGUCCACAACAAUCGUAGGUGUUGGUGUUGCAAAACUGCAGGGGCCCUCAUUACAAAAUAGACUCACUCUGGGCUCAUCUUAGAUCAGUGCUUAUUGUAUCUCCUUUGCUCGGUCUUUAUUUGGUUCUAAUGGAACAACUUCCAGUACAAUAAAAGAAGAAAGAAUCAUCCCUUGACUUGCAGGUUCUCCAUGCAAGGGCAAACAAAUGUUUUGAUACAGAACAACAGUUGUAAGUGCUACUGUUUGUAUGCCCAAUUUGGUUAUCUCUUAUUUUCUGUAUGACUAUAUUAUCGUUGUAUUAAUAUUUAGGUGGAAAGUGGAAUUAAGCGAGGUCUGAGUGAUCUUUGAAUUGUUAUUUCUCAUAUGGUUUCUCCUCUUCUCUCUACUUGAUUUAUUAUGUACACAACUUCUUUUGUUUCCUUAAGGAACCAUAUAUGAACCAGUACGUACAUAACUCAUUUAGCGUGUUAUGUCUCUACAAAUAAUUUAUUACCUUUGUUUUUACACCUAUUUGUUUCCUGAAUAACUAAUCCAAUUCUGUUUUCACCUUCCGACCACGGGAUAUUGGACAUGGCAUUAUGACCCUGCUCCUGAUUAUUCAACCAACAAUACCCGCCUAAUCAUUUUAGGAGAUAAUUGCAUGGCUGUAACCAUGUAGUCAUGUUGGAAUCUUCCAAGUGUGAAGAAAUGUUAAUGCAUCUGCAUACACAGAUGAAGCAUAGUUGCUUACAUUUCAUCUCCUAUAAUUAGGUCACAACAGCAUAACACUGUGCAUGUGAGGAUUACAUUUUUCUUUCAAAGAAGAAGAUCCAUGGGAAGUGUUUCGGCUUAUGGCCAGUGUGAAAAUCAUCGCCUCGUUGUCAUUAGCCGAUUACCAGCUUUCGACAUGUAACAUUUGUCCAGAUAGUUUCCAACAUGUAAUAUUUUCCCAUAUAGUUUUCACAUGUAACAAUUUGCUGGAGAGCUUUCAACAUGUUUUCAGUAGCACAUGUUGGAAACUAUCUGGGCACCAUAGUGUUACUCCUGGAGGCUUAACUUUUGCAAGGCAUGUAUCUAUUCUUUCUUGUUUUGUCUGUAGAUGAUAGUCCACUUAUCCUUUUGCUUUUUACCUAUUAUAGAUCUGUCUGUGACACAAAUAUAUCAAUCUGGUUUAUGUUGUGGUUGCUUCCUAACUAAAAGGUCUUGAAUUUGAUUCUAAAAAUGUUGGAAUUUGCAGGCAUGGUCAUAUGGAUUUUAGCUCAGACCAUGCUUGAUACUUUAACAUUAGUAGCUAAUAUCUUUGGAACUUACACUUCUAAAAAUCUUCCAUGAUUUUAGGCUAGCCCAAACGUCCAUUUACUUUGGUUCCUUACUUAUAAUUAAAAAUCAUAAUUGGAUUGUGAGCUAUUUGGACAAGAGAAACUGCCAUUGGUGUUGUUAUCGAGCUAUCCAGUGCAUGGCACUGAGAAUUUCAACACGAGGGCAAAAAGGGAGGCAGUGAGAGGAUUUAAGGUGGACAACAACGGGAGUGAACGGACCGUAGCUAGAAGACAUGGACGGGAUGGUGCCGUCAUCAUGUCCUCCAACUUCUAGAAAAGGAGAAAGUGGAUCGGUGUGCUCCGAAAUUAGAAGUGCAUUGUUAUUAUUUUUUUAAAGUAUCCUUGUAUUUGCAAUUUGUUUGCUGGAAGCAACUCUGUAAUAGUUUAAUAAGUGAUAAGUAGCUAUUUGCUUUGCUUUUACUUCCAUAUGGUGUCAAAGCACAUUUCAAGUUGAAGAGGAAUCCUAAUGUUUACUGUAAGAUGAUUUUUUGCACACAUGCAUUUUUAUGUCAAUUUGGAUGUGCAUUAUGUUUAUGCGAUCGGCAAGGAAAGAAACUUGACUGUCAUGAGGCGAUUGCCCGUACAAUGGUAGCAAGUUUAAGCCGAUAUUUGUCCCGAUGCAUUCGUAAGCACAUGAUUGUGAAUUACAAUGACAUUUUUAUCAAUGUCCCUAUACAUUUUUUUGUCCCGUAGCAACGCAUGCCAUUUUUAUCAACGCCGUACAAUGGUGGCAAGUUUAAGCCGAUAUUUGUGCAGAUGCAUCCGUAAGCACAGGCUUGUGAAUUACAAAAACACUUUUAUCAUUUUUCCUACACAUGAUUUUUUUUUGUCUCGUAGCAACGCAUGCCAUUUCUAUCAACGUUCUUAUACAUUAGUUUCUUGUCCCGUAGCAACGCACGGGCAUUCAACUAGUAGUAUAUAAGAAGGAAAAAACUGAAAAGAAAAUUUAUGUAUAAAUCUUCAUGCAAAAUCAAAGGAAUAUAGCAUUGGCCGAGACUAAUUAAGUCUCUAAGACAUAACGUAGCAGAACUGUUUUUAUUUCUAGUUUGUAGAUGAUAGAUGCUUAAUUAGACACUAUUGUAGAGACAAGCAUUAUAGUGCUUUAAAAACUUAAUUUAUUUUAUUAAACACAUUCCUAAGCAUUGCCCAAGGCCUAAUCAAAAUAGAGCAUAAAAUUGGAGUAAUACUGAAAGUUGAAAUUAUUCGAAAUUCCAAAAAAAAUGCACAAGUUAUAUUAUUUAUAGGCACAAUGUUCUGUUUGUUCCAGUUGCAAGUUUUAGUCUUUCUAGGCGCAAUCUCAAUCGCGGACAUUUUUCAAGUAAUACUGAAAUUCAAAAUUAUUCAAAAUUUCAAAAAAAAGUGCACACACCUACAUAUUUUUCGAUAGAUAAGUGAGAAAGGUUUAAGUACAGAAAAGCCAUCGCAAUAACGAGGCAAAUCUACAGAGCAGAAGAAGGCAACUACCGCCCAUCCAACGGUAAUUGCACUGACGCUCUUGCUAAAAUCAGCCUCAAAGUUACUUAUCGAAAUUGCUGCUACGAUCACUUGGCCAUCCCCGAUUGUAUCCAUAGACAUCCAUGGUGGCAGCUACUCCAUAAUAUCCACCGUCACUGCUUUUCAUAUAAAUAGCCUCCUGAAAUUAAUACGUAACGCUAGAUUAGUCAGUAAAUAUUCUCACAAAAAAAAUAUUAGUCGUAAAUAGAGGGCCAAGCAAAGGAACUAGCGUUUGGCUGAUUAGUGCCAACAUGCUUGGGUGGGAGCUCAAUGUAUGGGAGCUGAAGAUGAACGGAGCUCAGUGAACGUGAUAAACUUGAUGCUUUCGCUUCCAUGCUGGCACCCGCAUUUAAACAGUUACUAUUGAAAGGAGGGAGUAUGAAGUUUGAACUUUCAAAACAAGAUGAAAACUAGCACACCAAUCAGCGGUUAGAAGAUGAUACGUCCAGUGUAUCUAAGCCUGAACUGUACGCCGACCGACGCAAUGUUCCGUCUGUUCCAGGUGAAGUUUUAGUCCGCCUUUGGUUAAAAGAAAAGUUUCAAUCACGGACAUACAUGGUAGCAGCAUUUAUAGACAUGACCUGAACGAUAAUAGAAUCCUAACUUAAACCUAAAGACGCCAACAAACUUGGUACGCCAACAAACUUGGUAUAAUCAAACACAAGCUCUACAUGGCUCCAUCUACCCAGGGCACUCCAUCAGGGAUGCCGCCGCCACUAUCUAACACAGGACCGAUCCAAUAACAUUAAUAAAAAUGAAAUUCAAUAAAAUUCCUUGUUUUGUAGAAAAAAAAUUAAAGUACAAAGGAUUAUACUUUCUGUAGGCUAACAAAUAUCAUAAAAUUUGAGUAAAACUUAGAGACAACCGUGGUAAACAUUGAGAAAACAAAGUGACAGAAAACAUAAGAGAAAGAAAUCCAAGGAAAAAAAUAGAAACAACAGGACCGAUCCAGCAAUUAACACCACAACAAAAAAAAGCAUAAACACAGAAUCAAAGUAAUAUAAAGGUACAGUAGAAAUACCAACAAACUAAUAAUAUACUUAGACGUGAGACAUCAUAACCCUUGAUCCACUACCACGAAUGUUGCAACUCGCACGGAAUAACUCCGACCACUCGGAAGCAAAACAAUAACCACCACAACCUCAAGUCUCAGAUAACACAGACACGGUAUAAUAAGCAGCAGGCUUCGCCGCCUCUGCAACAGAACAACUGACUGUUUAGUCGACCUCCUCGAUCUU
rnacentral:lncRNA from 1 species